rnacentral:lncRNA from 1 species
AAUUAAUUACAGUGAAAAGAGGUUAAAAAAAAAUAAUAAAAUAAUACAAAGAAUAAUACUAGCUAUAUUUAAAUAUAUUUAAUUAUGAUAUUAAUUAUUUUUUUAUUUAGUUUAUAUGUUUAAAAUGUAAUGAAAAUUGAUUAGCUAAGUUUUAGUAUUUCUUUCAUUUAGAUUGUAUAUUUAAAAUAUAAUAAAAAUUAAUUAGUUGAGUAUUAAUAUUUUUUUUACUAGAUGAUUUAUUGUUGUACUAUUAUAAUUUAUGUAUAAAAAAAUUAAUUGAUUAUUUUAGAUUAUAUUUUUUAAUUAUAUACGAAUACAAUUAUAAUUUUUUAUUACAUUAUAAUUAAUUUUAGUAAAUUUAUUUAUUAUUUAUGCAUAUAAAUUAUAAUUUUCACGCCAUUUAUUUCUUGUCAAACAAACAAUAACAUUGGAGAAAAUUCAUUUCGAUAGUUAUGGAAACAAGCAGGGGGGAAAAGUACUUUUUACAAAACUCUAUUUUAUCUUAAAGUCCACCUUAUUCCAAAAUCUACUUUCGGGAAACAGACAGACUUAGGCCCUGUUUGGAUGCAUAGUUAAAAAACUCCAUGGAAUUUUUAUUCUAUGGUUUUGGUCUAAAUGAAAUAUGGAAUCCUGUAACUACAAAAAAAUUCCACAGCUUCAUUUUUAAGCUAUUUGGAUACAUAUCAUACAAUUCCACAGUAUUUAUAACAAUUAAAUUUCUAAAAUUUUAAAAUUCAAAAUUCAAAACUCAAAAUUCAAAAUUCAAAAUUCAAAAUUUAAAAAUAAAAUUUUAAAAAUUAAAAAUAAAAAUUCAAAAUAUAAAAUUAAAAUUUAAAAUUUAAAAUUUAAAAAGUAAAUUAGAUUUUAUGUUUUAAAUUUGAAAUUUGAAAUUUGGAAUUUGAAAUUUCAAAUUUGAAANUUUUUGAAAUUUGAAAUUUAAAAUUUAAAAUUUGAAGUUUUUGAAAUUUGAAAUUUGAAAUUUAAAAUUUGAAAUUUAAAAUCAAAAUUAAAUUUGAAUUUUAAAAUUUUAAAAUUUGAAAUCUAAAAUUUUAUUUUGAAAUUUAAAAUUUAAAAAUUGAUACAUCUUUGGGAGCCCAAAAUGGUGGAAUUUUUUUCCUUUGGUUAAAGUGGAUUGUAAGUUUACUUCAUUUUUUGGAGUAUAGUAUAACUAUACUCCAAAAAUUACGUCAUUUUUUUUUCUUCCAAACGCUUCAUAGGAUUAUUUUCCUACCAGCGUAGCAUAGUCUAUGCUACGUUUUUAGAGGUAUCCAAACGGGGCCUUAGUGGCCAAUGUUUGGCCUUUGAAUAGCCUGAGGAGUCGAUAGUUCUUAUUUUGUUUGGUUUGGUAACUCAAACUCAUAAUUUCUUACUUUGAUAUCAUGUUAAGUUACAUCAAUUAUCAAAUAGCCAUCUUUCUUCAAUAAUUUAAGCUAUUAGAGAACAUUAUUUUUAUAAUUUGUAUUCAAUAACAAUCACAAUAUUUAUAAAAAAAUAAAUAUAGAUGAUUAGUAGGAUCAAUGAGCAAGCAACUAAAUAUAUCCUAAUACCAAAGCAACCAAAAUUACGAUCAUGUGAUCAAUAUUCUUGGAUUUUAACCCAUAUAUGCAACACCCUAAAAGCUAGCUAUAUAUUUUCCGCCUUUUAAAGUUUUUUUUUUUUUUUGUUUCCACCGCGGUCUAUUAGCUCACUCUUGAAGCUUAAUUCAUCUAUCUAAUAAAUAAAGAAGAUAGCGUGCUGUUUUUUUCCUAAAAAAAACUCAUGGUGAGAUACCCACUUAAACUGGUAUAUGAGAGGCUCGAGGCCCAGCUAACAAAACAGUCAAUGACUAAUUUUGAUUAUGUAGGUAAUUCAUGAUUCAAAAACCUUGACGAAUAAUUUGACUUUCUUUGGCCACGUUUCUCUGCUCUCUUAGCCAGAAUUGCAUAGAGAAGGACUUGGAAAUUUUUCGACCAAACCUAAACAUGUGGCAUGUUCAAGUCAAUACAAGACCAUGCGAAUAUGUGAUGUAUAGAUUGCUCCAAACUGUGAUAGUUCAUCAUCGUUGAGAUCUAAUCAAAUUCCCCAUGCAAGUGAGUGAGUCAACAUGCGACCCUUCAGGAUCACAAACUUAAGAGAACGCUCAAUAACUAGUUAUUUCAAGUCACCUUUAAUCUUCAACAAUAUUUGUAAUGUAUAUCAACCAAAUACUUUUAUUAAGAGUAAAAGAAUGGGAUCAAGAUCGACCAAGGCAAGGCUAUUUUUUAAUCUCCAAAAUGAAUGCUCACUAAGCAUGGAAUAGUCGUAAGUAAUGAUUCUACUAACUAAUAUGAAAUAUUGAAACACAGGAAUCUCUUCAAUUGUGCGUCUCCAUGCUUGCUGAUUGUUACGUUUAUCUGCCUCUGUACUAUACAAUGCGAAUAAGUUGCAUCGCAGCAUCGGUUCUCUCUGUGUAAAUGAUUACUAGUUUUCAUAUAAUUGGUUGUUAUUAUCACAAUUGAUGUUCACAAAGAAACUGAUAUUAGUUAUUUGGUAUAAUACAAAACUCAUUCCAUGAGAAGGGAAUCCUGCUAUAUGGUUGACUUCUUGUAAAUUUUAAAAGGGUUAGGCUGCCCGAAACCUAACCGUUGUCAUUAUGCUUAGUAGUUAUCUGAGGAGACGUUUUAAAUUGCAUGUCUCACAUUGUCACUGCGUUUAAACAAAUCACUAACACAUGAUGCACUAGUCUCCUCUAAAUGCCAUAUGAACACAUACAUUGUGCCUAUGUAGAGUCCCUUUACUUAUCUCCUCUUUGGUCCCUAGUAUAAUCUACUCCCAAAAGAAGAAGAGGGAGAAGAACCAUGAAGUAUUUUUGUGUAAUCUUAGUAGCACUGAUAAGUUGCUUCUUCUGUGACCAUGUUAGUGCUGGUGCAAGAGCUAGAUGCAUGGAUCCUUACUUUGGAAAUUGCUAUGGAAUCCCUCUAAAAUGCCCGCCUGGUUGCCCUAAACUUUGCGAGGUUGAUUGCAAAGCAUGCAAACCUUACUGUGGUAAGUUUUUCUCUUACCGAAGUUUCACUCGUAAAUCUGCUUUAUUUACAAUAGUAAUAAUCAAUAUGUGAAUAUGUGCUCGAAUUCAUUGAUUGAGUCCAAAUUGAUGUAAGUCCAUCAUAAAUUCCCUCACAGAUUGUGACAAGCCAGGGGCUGUGUGCCAAGACCCGCGCUUCAUCGGAGGCGACGGCAUCAUGUUCUACUUCCAUGGAAGGAAAGAAAAGGACUUUUGCCUUGUAACAAACCCAGAUAUACACAUCAAUGCGCAUUUCAUCGGAAAGAAGGGCAACAAAGGAAGGGACUUCACUUGGGUCCAGUCGAUCGGGGCCUCGUUCGGGUCGCACCAGUUGUACGUCGGCGCGAGAAACGUGGCAAACUGGACACAAUCCGAGGACUACAUGCACAUACAAUUCGAUGGAGUCGACGUCAACAUUCCACUAGGAAAUGGCGAGAUGUGGUUUUUUCCGGAUUCCGGUUUGACGAUCAAACGUGUAGGGCAGACGAAUUCAAUAGUGGCUGAAGUGGUCGGCGUGGUCAAGAUCAGAGUGAGAGUGGUGCCAAUAACUAAAGAAGAAUCAAGAGUUCAUGGAUACGACAUAAAGGAGGAGGAUUGUUUUGCUCACUUAGAGCUAAGUUUCAAGUUUAGCUCAUUGAGUAACUUGGUAGAUGGGGUGUUGGGACAGACCUAUGUGCCGGGUUAUCGUAGCAGGGUGAAAAUGGGCGCCACCAUGCCGAUCAUGGGGGGUGCGGAGAAGUUCGCGUCAUCGCAUUUGUUUGCUACAGAUUGUGCGGUAUCGAAGUUUGGGUUUAGAAGGGAGGGCGCAGAGCUUGAAGAUCCACGGACGGUUACUUGUGGAGCUACAGAGGGAGGAGUGGGGAUUGUCUGCAGAAGAUGAGAGACAGAGAGGGUCAAUAAAGUGUAAUUUGCUUGUGUGAGUUAUAUCUGCAUGUAUGUGGUAAAUGGUGAGCAAUAUUAUGUUGCAGUCAUGUUAUUAUUUGGCAAUUUCCACUUGAGGAAGAUCCAUUUCAUCAUUGUUUUCAUGUACUGAUGCAUCAAGUACUUGAAAUUGUUCUAGGGAUCCCCUAAAACCCUGCAACAUGAAAAAUAAAAGAGAGAGAAGCAUCUAAGAACUUCACUUUUUUUAAAAAAAAAUUAAAAAAAUCCCGACAAUUCUAUGUGCAAUGAGAAUUCUUUUUCCUCCGGAAGUUAAAAGAGUUUUUGAUGCCUUUGCGGAAUAUCCUCGAACAGUUGAUCGAUCUACAUACAUGUGCGGUGGGAUAUAGGAUUAUAUGCAUAAUAUAGGCUAAUAGUCCCACAUCGACCAGUUAAAUACGUCGUGGCCCAUAAGCUUUCUUUAAAAGGAGAGGCCCAGCGACGGAGAAAAGCAUCUUUGCGCUUGGGGCAAUGACGCAGCUAGUGAGGUAAAAACCGAGGCGCGUCAAUUGCUGGUUGAAAACUAUUUCCAAACCCCCUCUUUGGCCUGGGCUCGCCCCGGUUGCCACUGAGAAUUUCUGGAAGGGCCCCCUCUAAUCCAGGGUAAGGCCCUACAAUUCUUAAUUAGCUAUAAAUGUUUUUUUGAGUUAGUGUUUCUAAUUCCGUUUAAUGUCGAAAAUAAUACUUGAAUUGUUAGAUCAUUCCUGUAAUUUAUCAAAAACCGGGUUGGGGCCUGAUUUUGGCGUCUGAAAUGAUGUAGCAGAAUUUGGACCAAUAAUUUUAGUUGAAUCACAAACGUCCACCCUGUACUAUGGCUACAUUUUGGGCCCAAUAAUUUUAGUUGAAUCACAAACUCCACCAUGUAAUAUGGCUACAUUUUGGGCCCAGUAGAACUUGGGCCAUUUACACUUCGGGCCUAUCACAAAUUUGCUUCAUCUUCAACACUUCCAAGAUUGUCAUAUAUGGCAGGAUCUUUUUAAAAAAGAUGCAGUAUAAUAUAUAUAUUAGUAAACAGCAAAAAUUUCUUUACAACCUUGAAAGAACCUCACAGUUCAAUAUCUAACUUACCUAAGACUUUCAACUAUAUUAUAACAAUUAUCUAAUUAAAAAAUAUAUACAUAAUCCUUCUCCGCAAGGUUGGGCACAUUAAUUCUCCAGCGAGAUGAUUUGCGAUAUAAAAUUACUCGAAUUUUGUGAAGUGGAAAGCAUCCUCCUCGAAAAGAGAGCUUCCGUUUUGAUUCGAUGGUCCUUGUCCAGAGUGUUUUGGGCUUAGGAAGGAUUGCUACUCUCAGCAGCAAAGCCAGAUGCUUCUGCUAGAGCUGAUAGGUCCUGUUCACCGCUAAAAACCUGCAAAAAAAAAAUUACCAAAGAAUAGAAAUUUUGAUGUUACUAUUUAGUACAACAUAGAGUACAACAUAGUUAUUUUGACCUCAUAAAGAUAAUAUAUGCUUGCCGGAUCUAUACCUGAACACUCCGCCAGUAUGAACGCAAACAAUAACAAUUUCGCACGAGAAGAAGUUGAGGCAAUGAAGCAUUCUAUAGUAUACGAAUACCAGAAUAUAAACAACAUCCAAGAAGAAGCGAGCACUGUCAAUCAAUUUCAAUCCAGUAAUAGAUUGGGCAGAACAAAACAUAUAUACAUCGCCUGAUUAUUUUGGAUUGAUUUCAUUUUAAUCUUUAAAUAACUUUAUCCUCGAUAUGCAAAACAUACCAUGAAAAAUUAGUCAUCUUACUCUUUCACCUCAAUUAUUUUCAUACCUCCACGAGAGUUCUCUAACCAAAGCUCCUCUAUUAUAUGAGCAAAUUAUAAAUAAUAAGAACUGUAUUUUGUUUUAUAUCUAUUAAUUUGCAGAGAUAUGAGACCUAUAGCUGAUAUCUACAGGUGAAAGCACAUCAUAAUCAGUUAGGACAAUAUUAUUAGACAUCAAGGAGAAUUAAUCGGAACACUGACGAACAAAAAUAAUUCUUCCUGCAAAUAUUGGAAACUAACCUUAUCUUUGAUGAUCCAUGUUGGGAAGCCUUCAAUCCCAACAGCUGCACAUUCCAAGGCCAUUUUUCUUCCUUUACCAACUCCAUCAGGGAAACACUCAACAUAAUCCAACAUCUUCACAGCUUCACGCCCAAACAUCUGUAUCAACAGAUAAAGAUGAUAAAUAUUGGUUCAUGCUAGUGCUGCAUAUUAUCAGUACUUUUGCAGGGUUAAUUUGAUACUAAUCUAUUCAAUCAAAGUUUUAAAGAUAAAAUAAAGACCAAAGAAACAAAGUGAUAGAUAUUAAGGCAUUUUAUUUUGUUCUGUAUAUACUGCAACAACAACAGAUAUAAGGAAUUCACCUCCUUCUGUUCAUUACAGUGAGAACACCAGAAUGCUCCAUACAUCUUAGCGCCUAUGGUCUUCAGGUGCUUUGCAAGGGAGAUAGCGAAAGGAGUUGAUUCUUUGGUUAUAACAGUCUCGUAUGGCUCCAAGGUAAUUUCCCCUGAGCUGUAUGAAUCAGAUUGGGCAAAAUGUUAAGCAUGUUUUUCUUGUAAGACAAACAUAAACAAACAUGUGAGUAUAGAAAUCUACUGCAUAUGAGUUAAUUAGGCAAGCAAACCAGCUAUGAACGACGAAUGCCUUUACAUAGACUCUAAAACUAUGAAUUUUAAGGUAUACAAAAUAGUACGAUGAAGUUGAUAUUGACAAGGCUAUGUGGAAUUUCCAGGACGAUUAGAAACCUCCAGGUUUUCUUUUAGGGCCUGCUAACCCUGGAGGUUUUGCAGAAGUGUUACUUGAGAAGAGCUAUUGGAAAAAGCAAUAUUAUUAUUAUUAUUAUUAUUAUUAUUAUUAUUAUCUCUCAAUGACUAAUGACUACCCAAUGUCGCUAAAAAUAGAAGCUUCAAAUUGGAGAGUCCGCUUUUAGGGUCUAGAAGCUCAUUUUGGCAAAUCACAACAGCCAAAAAAUUCCAAACUUAUUGUUUGAUGAACACCUAGCUUCUUGUUUGAUCCUAGCGAAGUGUUAAAAAAAAAAAAUAGAAUGGAGGUUGAAUAACUUCCAACUAAAUCAAUCAAUUGAAGUUUGUGUCAACUGAAGCAAAUUACGCAGUGAAAGUUGCUUUAUAUAUGAGAUAAAGAUCUUAUGCCGGCUAAGAAAAGUUUUUUAACAGCAUAAAGCCUGAAACAUAAUUUAAUUGGUCAUGAUGGAAGUUUCUUAACAGCAUAAGAAUUAAUUUGUGUGAAACACAUGAAGAAAAUUUUCAUUUAGGAAUAACAUUUAAAGGGUACUACAGCAUCAAACUAAACAGUUCAAAAAACUGAAAGAGCAGCAAACUUUAUGUGACUUUAGUAUUAAGAACACGAAAGUCUUACCCUGACAACUGAGGAGUAGCUGAUGAAUAUGAGCUUGUUAGAGCAACAAGAAUAACACCGGCAAUUGCUAACUGUAGACCAACCAUUUUUCUUAUUUCUUCCAAACCAAUAUCCUACAACAUAUAAAAGUUGGAUUCAGAUACCUUCUGGUGGUUCUGAAGAGGGAUCCUUUGCUUUAAGAGACUACAUACCUUGACGGUGAGAAGAAAUAAACUAAAAGAGAGAAAAGCCGAUAUGAGACAGUAUGAACAAGAUGUUCCAGCAAACUCCGUGGUCAGAAGGUAAACGAAAUAAGCACUUGCAGUUGCCAUCGAAGUUGUCGUCCCAAGCAAAAUCAAGCGAUUAUUAGUUUCAUCAAUUCCAGGAAGCAAAUUCUUCCGACUCUGUUGUAGAGAAAGUAAUGCAACUAAACCGUACGCAACCAUCCCAAUCAAUGGAAGCGGAACACCUGUAUAGUGGAAAAUGAUAUAUCACGAACCUCGAAAGCAAAUUAAGCAUUAGAUUAGAUCGAAAGAGUGAACAGAAACAAUUCUGUAUCAUCACAGUUGAUCAGCUGCUUCUUUCUAACCAACUUGAUUUGUAGUUUACUCAUAAAAAAAUGAGCAUUUGACUAACAAGGAAUGAAGCCUUAAAAUAAAUGUAACGGUUCCGCGCCUAGUUUUUUUCUUUCAGCUCCAUGCUUCGAGAGUAUAUCACUCGGUGAGUUCAUAAUUUAUACUAAUAACAAAGCAAGCGCAGCGGCAUAACAAACCUCAAAGACAUAAUAUUAUCUAUAACCUAGAGUAAAUUCGGAUUCUUCUGCUCACUAAUUUCAAGGUAUUUUCUCGGUUUAAUCAGCUCAAUGAGCAUCGAACUCGAUUAACCUCAGUGAUACUUUUCACAGUUCCAAAAUCAUGUAGCAUCAGAACUAAGCUUCGCCCACAUCCACCACAAUCAAUAUAAAAUUAGGGCAAUAGGUGGCGGUACCGAAGACGGCGGAGUAGACGCUGUUGAGGACAUCGCCGCAACUGCCGCCGCCGCCGCCGUCGCCGACGGGGCAAAACGCCUCAGAAUUGGAGAGCUUCAGGUAAGUAAGAUAACCGGUCUCGAGGAAGCCCAAGGAUGCGAGACCCGCCGACCAAGUGGAUGUGGAAAUGCCCCUGAGAGGAGAGCCCUUCUUGUGCUCCUCCACAUCCACCUCGGGAGAAGGCCCCGCGCGGCACUUGAAGUGCACUCGCGCCCCCUCCUGUACAGCAACCACCACCGCAGCACGUAAAUUAGAUAACAACAGUAAUAAUAGUGAGAAAAAUUAGGAAAAAUGCAAUCGAACGCGAUUGAAUCGGAGCGCGAAACCAUAAAGCGCGGUGGGGGGAAGCGGGGGAUGGAGAGGGUGGAGGAGAUGCUCGCCAUCGCCAUUAGCAGCUGCUGCUUCGCUCCUUUGCUCUUCUUCCCCUUCGCCUCUCUCUCUCUCUCUCUCUCUCUCUCUCUUCCGGGGUCUCUGUUUUAACGGUCCAUGGAUUCCCAUCUGAGCCGCGACUCGGACGACACGAAUCGGGGUGGGUUCGGGUUUGGUUCGGAUCCGGCGCCGCCACACCUAGCCCAACUGCCCAAGGGAGCGAAUCGUUCUCGAGUCUAAAUAAGGCCCAUUAGGCCUAUUUAUUUUUAAAUACGUUGGGCCUGAUGGCCCCUUUUUGUUCAUAGGCUCUCUUGGUAACAGGUUGGCCCAAUUAACUUUGUGUCUACAAUCUGGACUCUGGAGGAAGGUAGUCCCUAACUCUUCUUUUCUUUUCUUUUUUUUUCUUUUAAAAACCUUUAAUUUCUUUAUUGACAUCUGCUCACCUUCUAAUUAUUCCGAUUUGAAUAAAUCAAGUCAUCUAAAUUAGAGAUUUGCUAGCAAUUUUGCUAAUAGUUAAUGGCACCUGCAAAUCCAUUUUGCUAGCACAAAAGCCAUUUUAAUUUAAUAGAAUCAUUGAUAAAGUUAACAAGAUCCACAAUAAUAUAACGAAUAAAAAAAUCUUAAAACCGACUGUCCCUAGAUCAAGUGGCAAAGGGUUUUGUGGUUGGUACCCGAAACCCAAGUUCGAAUUCUAGUUGAUUCACAUUUCUAGCUAAGUUUAUUUCUAAAUGAAAUAAACGAAGCGGGUAGCGUGCUAUCUAUUUCUCAAAAAAAAUAAAAAAAUCUUAAAUCAAAGAGAUUAGAGGCUGGAAACAUGUCAAAAUAAAGUUAAAGGGUUCAAUUUUACCUAAAUAUUUGCUUUUUAUUAGAAAUUUGGAAUUUACAAGAAAGAUGCUACAUAAACCCACAAUUUCAUUCGCCCGCUGGUAAACUGCAGUUUACUCAAAUUUCAUUCGCCAGCUGGUAAACUGCAGUUUUGAGUAAACUGCUACAUGCUACUGCAAUUGUUAAUUAGUAGACCCAAAUCAUGUAAUCACAUAUAAUAAAACUAUCAAAUGGACAUGUGAAAUAGCAUACUAAUACUAACUUCCUCGGUUCUACUCUAUUAAAACCCAAAUUAAUGUACGAGUUUAAGGUACUAGCUAGCGAGCCUAAUGAUAUAUUUAAUAAAUAUCUUUUUUUUCAUUUAUUCUUUUAUCGUGUGCUUAACUUUAAACUUUGAAACAUAAAAAAUAUGCAUACUACUCAGUUAUCAUCUCAGAGAAAACUAUAGUUUUGAGCAAGCCCUCCUCUUUCUCUGUUUUCUUUUUUUUCGUUUUUUUUUUUUUUGGUUGGUAAUUUGAGAAAACCCUUUUUUUAGUGCAGAUUAUUUUAUCGCACUCUAAAUUAUCUAAGAAAAACUCUAAUUCACAGCACGUCAGGUGAUCCAACCCAAUAAUCGCAUCGCUACGCAAGUUGAUUGCACGUAUAGCUAAGGGAGAAAGCAUUGUCUGAACCUGGAAUACCACGUCAGCAGUAGACCGCUAAACCAAUGCAACUAUUCAUUUCAUUCGCUUCUUCAAUUCUAAUUGUUUUAAAAGAGAAUAACCCGUAAUUUCAAAUAAGAAAAAGUUAUUUGAUGGUGGUUUCUUUAGAUUGCUUGGGUAGUUUACGGCUCACAAAUUGAACCAGGUUCAGGGAAUAAAUUUUCAGGCGAGUUGUUAGGCAAUAUUUUGGUAGAAAUUGUAUUGAUUAAGAUAAUUAUUCAAGCAUAGCCAUCAUCUUUAUGCAUAAAUAAUUUUAAAAUAUCUUAAAAUAAAAAAAUAAAAUUAAAAGUCUCAUAACAUGCUAGCAUGAUCUUAGAUCUGGGACUGGAAGAGUCUAACCACCUGCGCGCACCUCGUGAAUCUAAUCAUAUUUUGACCCAUUGUAGUUCGAAUUUGUGACUAUAGUAGUUGAAAUGGGUGCACCACAUCACGCAAUGCACCGCCUACUGGAUUUGCCAUAUCACAGGCCGGCUAAAGUAAAUAUUAAAUAAUAAAUAUAUUAAAGACGGUGGGCUGAAUCAGUUAUCCCCGCUUUAAUUCGUUCCUGUCAUAUUCUCGUUUUCCCAAUUUAAAAAUAUAUCCUCUACAAAAGAUUCCUCAUAAAAAGAAAGGAAUCGCUAACAAAUGGAUGAAAAGUGUAGUAUUCUCCAUUACGUGCAUGCAUGCCAUCAUUCUUAUAAUAAUAAUUAAUAUAUCAAAAAGGCAUUUAAAAUUGUAUAUAUCUCACAUUGACUUUUUGUUAGAAAAAUCACUACCCAAGAUGCGCAUAAGCUCUUCGAUCUCAAAGCUAUAAAUACGAACCCCGACAUGCACCACUUGCUAUAUCCACCCAGCAAUAUUCAUCUCUUCUAGCUUAUUUUCACUCAGAAACCUUUCCUUUGUAGCAUUCGUUCCCAUAGAAGCUACGUAACCAUGAAAUAUUUCCUGGUUCUUUUGGUUGCGCUAACAAGCUGCUUCUUCUAUGGACGUGUUAAUGCCGGAACAGCUGCGUGCGCGAACACCUACUCGAAUUGCUAUGGAAUUUCAUUCAAUUGCCCGCAGGGUUGUCCUAAUCAAUGCGAGGUGGACUGCAACACAUGCAAGCCUUAUUGUCGUAAGUCUCUCUUUUCCCUCCCCCUAAUUAAUCUACUUUGUUUUCUAAAUAAGAAAAUAAAUUCAUUAUGUAUAUGUGAAUGCAUACUAUUCUAUGUUUAUGGAGUACUCCAUCCAUGCUUGGGCACACAAUUUAAUGCAGGUUCAUCACAAACUUCUCUUCUUCAGUAUCAUAAUUUAUUAGGUUAAUUAAGAACCUAUAUAUAUAUAUAUAUAGAAAGAGAGAGAGUUGAGCUAAAAUACUCUCAAAAGCAUCAUGAAUGUGGUACUUUUGAGUUUUUAACUAUUGAAUGGAUAGAUGUGAGGUUGAGAUGAUGGUGGUAGGUGGAAUAGUAUUUGAUCCAAAAGCUAUAAAUAAUCAAGGAGUAGAUUCAAGGACUAUAAACUUAGAAGCACCAAGGGUUUAGUGCUUCUAAAAGUAUUCUAACUCAAUUUUAUAUAUAUAUAUAUAGUUCUUAGAUUAACAGUGGUGCAUUAUUGUCCAAUGUGUGUCUGAACACUAAAAUUUUAACUUACUAUCUAAUAAUGCAGUUAUUUUGAUUAAGCACUUAUAAGCCUGUACUAAUCGGUAUUUUUAAGUUUUUUAUGAAAUAUUUAAUGGUAAUUGUUAAAUUCCUACUCAAUUGGUGGACUAUAAUUAGCUAGAAAGAGAAAUGAUAGUAGCUGGAACUCGAAAGAGUAGAUAGAUUAGAUAGCAGAAUUAAAUUCAUAAUGAUAAUUAUUAAGAUACUUAUUGUAAAUUGCACUAUGUAUAUAUAUGUCUGGUAGGAUCCGAGCUUCUUCUUUUUUGUUUUUUGUUUUUCCUUCUUAUUUAUCGAGUUACAUGCAUGUAAAAUCUUGGUUGUGCACAUACGUUCAUCGAUCAGCUUGCGAUAAGCCGGGAGCGGUGUGCCACGACCCGCGCUUCAUCGGUGGAGACGGCAUCAAGUUCUACUUCCACGGAAAGAAAAACAAGGACUUCUGCCUCGUCACCGAUUCCGACAUCCACGUCAACGCGCAUUUCAUUGGAAAGCAAGGCAAGGGGAGGGACUUCACCUGGGUCCAGUCCAUCGGCAUCUUGUUCGGCUCGCAGCAGUUCUACGUCGGUGCGAGAAAGGUCGCGACCUGGCACGGAUCCGACGACAACAUGCACGUGCAAUUCAAUGGAGCAGACAUCAACAUCCCGUCGGGCGACGGCGAGAUGUGGACGUCGCCGGAGGGCGACUUGCAGAUCAAACGUGUUGGGGAGACGAACUCGAUUGUGGCCGAAGUGGUGGGCGUGGUGAAGAUCGGAGUGAGAGUGGUGCCCAUCACCGAAGAAGAAUCGAGAAUUCAUGGGUACGGCAUUACGGAGGACGACUGCUUUGCUCAUCUGGAGCUCAGCUUCAAGUUCAGUUCACUGAGCAACUCGGUGAGCGGGGUUUUGGGGCAGACCUACGUGCCGGGUUAUCGCAGUCCAGUUAAGAUCGGCGUCCCGAUGCCGGUCAUGGGUGGCGCGGAGAAGUACUCGACCUCGCAUCUGUUUGCGACGGACUGCGCCGUCUCAAAGUUCGGGCUCAAGAGGGAGGGUGCUGAGAUUGAGGAUCCGCCGACGGUUGCUUGCGGAGCUCAAGAUGGAAUUCAGGGGAUUGUUUGCAAGAGGUGAAAGAGACAGAGAGAUACAGAGAGGAAGAUGACCGGGAAGAGUGAUUUUGCUUUGCAUUAAUAUUUCAUGUGCGUGUGUGUGUGGUAUUUAGUGAUAAAUAAUCUCUGGUUCCUUUGUUGCUGCUCUCCAGCUUUGUUGCUUGGGGGUUUUCGUUUAUUCUGUAUCUGCUAUCAUUUUGUUUUCCUCAUGUAUUCCUCUAUAAUAUUUCUCUUAAUAUAAUUAAUGAAUAGAUCUAUUGCCUAUUCUUUUCAAAAUAAAAGAACUUCUGUCGCAGUAACUUUUUUUGUGAAAGAUGUUCCGGUCAUAUUAUAGUUCUGCAAUUUGGGCAUAGGAAAAUUCCUUGAUUAUUCUGUGAUGUUGUUGUCUUUUUUCAUGUUGCAUUAAGUUAUUGGAUAAAAAAUAGGUUAAAUUAUAUAAAAAAAACUUCUAUUAAAAUCUGAUUUUUCACUUUGGAUCCCGCCGUCCGUGUUCUGUUAGGAUUCCGUCUAUUUCUCAUUAUUAUAUUUUUUUUUAUGCCGAAAAUAUCCUUCUAUAAAUAAAGAAGGGUUGGGGGAGGAGAGGAAAAAUGAGAGGGCAUUUUGGUUAUUUUAUCAAUACUAUUAACAUCGUACCUCCUGUGAAUAUUUUUCAUUUUUAGAGGGGCAAAGUGUAGGUUUUUAAAUGACAGAAAGAGAAAGUGAAAAAUCGGCAACCGAUAAUCAGUUCAGCUUACGUAGUCAAAUAGAAAGAUGACACAUGGUAUAUUAAGAGCCGAAAAAAAGGAGUUCAAAAGUAAAUGAAUUACACAUGGUAUAUUAAGAGCCGAAAAAAAGGAGUUCAAAAGAUGACACGGUAUAUUAAGAGUGGUCCAUCGUCAUUAACCGUGUCAACUCGAGAAUAGAAGGCUGGAAAGCAAAGCUUCUCUCUCAAAGGGGUAGACUCACCCUUGUCAACUCUGUCCUCGCUAGUCUGCCUCUACUCUACCUUUCUAUUUUUAAAGCACCUCAGUGGGUACUGCAACGAAUUGAAGCUCUGCGGAGGGCCUUCUUCUGGAAAGGCGGCACCAAAAUCACUGGGGGUGGUUGCCUUGUUAACUGGAAAUCUAUCUGUAAGAGCAAGAAAGAAGGAGGGUUAGGAGUCAAGGAAUUGGGCGCGAUGAAUACGGCACUACUAUCCAAAUGGUGGUGGCGCUUCUUCACCGAGAGAAGCCUGCUCUGGAAUAAGUUAAUCAGAACUCUUUAUUACAUCAAACGUAGGCCUUUACACGAGGGUUGAACUUUUGCACCCUAUUCGCAAUGGUGGAGAGGUGUGCUGCACUGUCGCGAUAUUUUCAAAUGCAGUGUAAGCUACGAGUUCGGUGAUGGCAACAACAUCAGGAUAUGGUUAGACAUUUGGAUAGGGGAAAUCCCCUUACGCACCUUAUUCCCAAAUAUCUUUGACCACGCAAGAAAUAAAGAUGCCAGAGUAGCUCAAUGUUGGAAUAUGAACGGUUGGAGGUGGCGUUUUUUUUGUCGUGGCGAUCGGGGGCUCUCUUUAGCAGAACGUCGCAGACAGCUGACGCUUUUGAAGAAUCUGCUCGUGCUCUUUAGUCCAAGUUCCAUACCGGACACGAUCAAAUAGCGUUGGACGGCAAACCAACAAUUCUCCGUCAAAUCCCUUUACCAAUUCCUCACUGACAGCGGAUUAAGAGAUUUAAUGAAUUUAUUUAUCUGGAAAAUCAAAAUUCCAGUCAAGAUUAAAGUGUUCUUAUGGCUACUCCUGUAAAAGAGAAUCUUGAUUGUAGAUCGUUUACAUAAACGCGGAUGGCUAGCGGAACAAUUUUGCAUUCUCUGUGCCGCUAGUACGGAAAGCUCAUCACCUAAUAAGCUCCUGCGUGUUUGUUCGCUUCCUCCUCAUUCAAGUUGAAGUACCGGAUUUUUUGAUAGAGCCAGCGACGGAGGCGAGAGAACUUUGGACAAGAUCAGUCAGCCUAGUAGAUGCCCAGAAGAGACUUGAAUCUCUAACUCUAAUGUCUGCUAUUUGGUGGUUGUUUGGACUCAGAGGAAUGACAGUCUUUUUGGCGCAAAGCCCCCCAACACUACCCGAGCACUAGAACGUGUUAGACACCUGCUGACAUCCUGGACCACGUGACUCUGAGCGUUUGGUGUCCUCCUUUUUUUUCGGGUUGACUUUCUUGUUUUUUCCUCUUCUGUUUUUUCAUUUUUUGCUGACUUAGCUUCCUUUUUCUCUCUUUUUUUUCCUCCAGAGACCUCGGCUGCCUCCAUUAUGUAAGCCUAAUUCAUUUUCCUAAUAAAUGAAACAGGUAGCUUGCUAUCUAUUUCUAAAAAAAAAAAAAAUAAAUGGAUUUUGAACAGCACUUUCCGUAAAGUGACAACUGUCCAACAACUGCAGGUUAACUGAAAUUUGAUAGUAAGUUUAUAAAUAGCGACGUCGCAAAGAUAUUUUCCUAUACCGAAGACCAUUAUUAUUAUUAUUAUUUUUUCAUUCUCAACAUUUAUAAUUUUUUCUAGGAGUAGCCAGUGUUAGAAUGUAGUCUUUAGUUUUAGCCAAAAAAUCAAGGUCAUAGAAAUUUUGUAGCAUUUUCGAAAGGAUUAUACGAGAGUUUUGCUUCAAUAUGCGGAAACUAGGUGAAAUUUAAGCAGUCAAAAAACUACAAUCCUGAAACUGAGCUGCUACGGAGAUUUUGCAUGGAAACGCUGCCUCUCUACACGAAGAUUCAAUUUUGCUUCAGUUUUACCCCAAGAGCACAUAUCCUUCAUCAGAAUUGAGAGCUUAAUUUCUUCACUAUCCUCAAAUCUCUUGGCCGUGUUUCGAUCCAAAAUAUCUAUAACAGCUAAUUUUCAAGAUUGGAUUGCCUUUUCUCUUCAAUAUCUCACCAAAUUUCCAUACAAAAAAGAAAUCACAAUGCCUGGAAAAGAAAAAGAAAAAAAAAGCUGAGAGUUUCUAUGAACAACAAAUGUAGGAUGACAAAGAAACAAUCCAUCAAAUGAUGCCACUAUUGUUGUUCUGACAAGGGAAAACCUGUUGAACAUUAAUUUGGGCUUGUACAUGUGGGUUCUUGGGAAAUUAUUUUUCCGACUAUCUAACACAAAUUAUAUCCUCUCUGUGGUCCACAGAUAAAUGUGAGAUCUUUCAAAUAAUGUUCCCUUAUGUAUUUAGACUUAGUUUGGUAUUGAGGUGGAUCCAACGCUGUUAGAUAAAAUGGAGUUAAGAAAAAACAUAUAGAAAUAUGCUUCUGCGUUCUCCGAUGAGACCGUAGAAAAUAUAUCGUAACCGACUAAUCACAAUAUGCAGAAUGCAAUAUUACAUACGGAAAUAAAUAGGGUAUUUUUCUAUCGUUAUUUCUCACCCCACAUAAUAUAAUCUUCUCGCAAUCCCAAAUGAAGCAUUAAUUGAAAUAUAUUAAUUCUGCACCUGUGUUUUGUACCCAUUUUAUUCUAUCAAUCAAUUGUUCUUUUUUUUUUAAUGCAUUAAACAAGUAUAUAUUCUUUGUCAAAGAUUUUGACUUGUUUUUUUCUUUUUUCGUGUUACGACAAACGCACAAACGGAAACGAAAUGACAAACACAAAAAUAAUCAAACCACAAGUAGAAAAUAAAGAAACACAGAUUUACGUGAAAAACCCUUUGCAGGGAAAAAACUACGGGCGAGAGAGGAGAGAACUUCACUAUGAAACGAAAAAGGAAAUACAAUGUUUUUCAAAUUACAACCGACCAUGAUCACACCUCUACGGGCUCGGACCUGUCGGCCCGAGCCCUCCGCUACCCACCACAGACAUUCAUUUUUCCUCCAUAAUUUUCUUUUCCAAAUUGGUCGCACCGCGAAGCUGUCGGCGAGUCGUAAACCCGAACCUGAAUCGAUAGUAGAUUUCGAGUCAUAUCUAACAUUUCGAGAGAGAGAUAGAUAGCAUGCUAUCUGUUUUAUUUAUUUUAUUUAGAAAUAAACUUAGUUAGAAAUGUGACUCAAUUAGGAUUCGACCUUGAGAUCUCGGGUGCCAACAACCAAGCCCUUUGCCACUUGCGCUAGGGACGGUCGGUUUCUACUAGUUAAACUCGUUUAAGUUUUCACAUGACCAGAUAGACAAUCUUGUGUAUUGAUUCCUAAGUAUCCAAAUAUAUCAUAUAAGUAGAUUCUUGACAACCUUAUUAAUUUGUGCUAAAAUAUAUUGAUGAUCAUUCUUAUGUCCGGGGUAAUAUUCUUGCAAAGGUGAUAAAUAUAUUUGUCUACUGGUUUUCUUCACCACACACGCAUAUGUAUGUAGACACAUUUAUGUGUGUAUAUGCAUGUAUUGGAUUGUUCGCAAAUUACUUUGUCGCAUAUGUAUAUAUGAUAAAUGCAAUAACAUUAUACAGAACAAGUAAAGGGAGUUCCCAUGUCCAAAUUGUUGAAUUGCAAUGCGACUGGAUCAUCUUUCAUUUAAAAAAAAAAAAGAAAAAAAAAGUGAAAGAAAGACUGGAAUUGAAUUUCUUUAUUUCAGUAAUUAUAUUAAAAGAAGCAAGGAAUACAUAACAUAAAGAUAAACCCCGCAGCAACAAAGCUGGAGAGCAGCAACAAAGGAAACAGAGAUUGUUUACAACUAUAAAAAUACCACUCACACACACACACACACACACACACACACACACGCACACGAAAUAUUAAUGCAAAGCAAAAUCACUCUUCCUGGUCAUCUUCCUCUCUGUAUCUCUCUGUCUCUUUCACCUCUUGCAGACAAUCCCCUGAAUUCCAUCUUGAGCUCCACAAGCAACCGUCGGCGGAUCCUCAAUCUCAGCACCCUCCCUCUUGAGCCCGAACUUCGAGACGGCACAGUCCGUCGCAAACAGAUGCGAGGUCGAGUACUUCUCCGCACCACCCAUGACCGGCAUCGGGACGCCGAUCUUAACUGGACUGCGAUAACCCGGCACGUAGGUCUGGCCCAGAACCCCGCUCACCGAGUUGCUCAGUGAACUGAACUUGAAGCUGAGCUCCAGAUGAGCAAAGCAGUCGUCCUCCGUAAUGCCGUACCCAUGAAUUCUCGAUUCUUCUUCGGUGAUGGGCACCACUCUCACUCCGAUCUUCACCACGCCCACCACUUCAGCCACGAUCGAGUUCGUCUCCCCAACACGUUUGAUCUGCAAGUCGCCCUCCGGCGACGUCCACAUCUCGCCGUCGCCCGACGGGAUGUUGAUGUCUGCUCCAUUGAAUUGCACGUGCAUGUUGUCGUCGGAUCCGUGCCAGGUCGCGACCUUUCUUGCGCCAACGUAGAACUGCUGCGAGCCGAACAAGACGCCAAUGGACUGGACCCAGGUGAAGUCCCUCCCCUUGCCUUGCUUUCCAAUGAAAUGCGCGUUGACAUGGAUGUCGGAAUCGGUGACGAGGCAGAAGUCCUUGUUUUUCUUUCCGUGGAAGUAGAACUUGAUGCCGUCUCCACCGAUGAAGCGCGGGUCAUGGCACACCGCUCCCGGCUUAUCGCAAGCUGAUCAUGUACGUGCACAACCAAGAUUUUACAUGCAUGUAACUCGAUAAAUAAAUAAGAAGGAAAAAAAAAAACAAAAAAAAAAAAAGCCCGGAUCCUACCGAAAAUAUAGAUAGUGCAAUUUACAGUAAGUAUCUCUUUCUAAUUAGAUAUUCUACCAACUCGGAUAUUACAAUAAAAAACUUAAAAAUACAGAUUAGUGCCGGCUUAUAAGUGCUUAAUAAUAAUAACUGCAUUAUUAGGUAGUAAGUUAAAAUUUUAGUGUUCAGCACUCAUUGGACAAUGCACCACUGUUCAGCUAAGAACUAUAUAUACAUAUAGGUUCUUAAUUAACCUAAUAAGUUGUGAUACUGAAGAAGAGAAGUUUGUGAUUAACCCGCAUUAAAUUGUGUGCUCAUGCAUGGAUGGAGUACUCCAUAAACAUAGAAUAGUAUGCAUUCACAUAUACAUAAUGAAUUUAUUUUCUUAUUUAGAAAACAAAGUAGAUUAAUUAGGGGGAGGGAAAAGAGAGACUUACGACAAUAAGGCUUGCAUGUGUUGCAGUCCACCUCGCAUUGGUUAGGACAACCCUGCGGGCAAUUGAAUAAUUUUCCAUAGCAAUACGAGUAGGUGUUCAUGCACUUUGCUGUUCCGGCAUUAACAUGUCCACAGAAGAAGCAGCUUAUUAGCGCAACCAAAAGAACCUGCAGGAAAUAUUUCAUGGUUACGUAGCUUCUCUGGGAACAAAAGCUAUAAAAGGAAAGGUGUCUGAGCGAAAAUAAAGCUAGAAGAGAUGAAUAUUGCUGGGUGGAUAUAGCUAGUGGUGCAUGUAGGGGUUCGUAUUUAUAGCUUUGAGAUCGAAGAGCUUAUGUGCAUCUUGGGUAGUGAUUUUUUAUUGUACUAUCGGUAUGAGACAUGUAAUUUUAAAUGUCUCUCGCUCUCUUUAUAAUUUUAUUAUCAUGAUGAUUGCGCUAGAAAGUGCUUGCCCAUUGUUCUUUUAUUGGGGCUUGUUUUCUUUCUUUUUUGCGGGGGAAGAAUCAUUGGAAGGAUACAGUAAUUAAUUAAUUAAGCAGAGAAGGUGGUAGGAUCAAAGGAAAAAGUCCACCACUGAUUUCGAACCUUUAUUCCAUAUAAUCUUAUCAAUCCAAUCAUAAAAUAAAAUAAAAAUUUAAUCAGACCCAAGCAUUUUCUUUUCUCAGGGGUCUUUGGUCACCCUAGAUUUUUCUUUUUUAUUUAGUAUAGACUUUGUGUAGGUUUACUCACCCUUUCUCUUUGCGUUCUUUUCUUUCUUUUCAAGAGGCCUAGCUGCCUAGCUCAAUCUGUUGUAAGUAAAUUCAUUUAUCUGAUGAAUAAAGAGAUAGCAUGUUAUAUUUUCUCAAGAAAAAAAAACUAAUCAGGAAAUUUCUACAAUUUAAUUAUUGGGUGACUAGGAUCGAAUAAUUAACGAGAUGGAAUCCAGCGCAAGUGAAUCGCAUAGGAACAAAAUUAGUACUGGUGCAUGUGAAUGGUGAAAAAAAAUUAGAUUGUAAUACAAAUAAAAUAAGUAAUCAGUGACUUAGAUUAAAUUUCAAACUUCGAUUUCUCAAAACAGGUUCUUUACUUGAGCUGAACUUUAGUUAUGAUAGAUCCACUAUAUAUACGUGGAUUAAAUGAUUUGGUGCAUGCAACCGUUCUGUUAGUAAACUCUCCACAUUUGAACAAAUUAUUGGUCUGAAUAUAGUAGGUUCAGGAGAUGCAGGUGAUUAAAACUAGGACUCUUAGAUUGAUCAUAUCGUGCAUUUAGGUUUUAGUUGUUGAAAAUUAAAAGUAUCCUCUUUUCAAGCAUUUGAAUUAAAAAAAAAGUAAAUAAUAUUAAGGAUAGAUUGCUAAUUGGUCCACUGCCAUGUGACGGACUAAUUUUAAAAAUCGUUUCCCAUUCAACUCGACGUGCGAUCAACUUAGAGACGCUCCUGCAUAACUUGACGUGCACUAAGAAGAGAAAAAAAAUUUUCCAAAAAAGAAAAAAAGAGUUGUCGGUGCACGAAAAAAAAAACAAAGAAAGAAGAAGAAGUGGAUAGCUGAGUUGUGGAGACACGUAGAGUUAAAAAAUUUUGCCAGAUUAUUCGAAUGUCUUGGUUUGAAAGUUUUAAGUACUUUAGCCUGAUAUUAAGGAAUAACAAAGAAUAGGAACUCAACGUAUAUAGAUCAUUGAUUAGAACCAUUUAGUUGCUUAAACUCGUGGGCUAUAAUGCAACGGAUGAAUUUAUUAUUAGUAUGCCCCUUUCGUAGUAUAUAUAACAUGUGCAAUGUGAUAAUUACAUGAUUUGGGGUACUAAUUAACUAACAAUUGCAGUAGUCCUAUAGUAGUUUACUUAAAAGAGAACUACGGCUGCAUAAAUAAAUGAUAAAUAUGGCAAUUGAAUCUAUGACCUUGCAGAAUAUUCGGAACUUAAGAUUAACUUAAAUACCAUAACACUCAAAAACUUAAGAUCAGCUCUGAUAUGUAAGAAGAUCAAUCCCAGUUACUCUAAUCAUUAAUAUGCAUGGUAGAAGUCGGGCAAACCAUGCUAUUUUUAUUAAAACAAGAUGUAAUGUGCCAUCGACUACUGACGAAUGUAUAGGAAUUUAAUCGAGAGUUUUUAGGAAUGGAAAAGGUUUAGUACCGACUCUAAUAUUAUGUUAAAAGAUUAAUAGACUUGAACAAUAAAAUAUUUAUGAUAUUUUAUAUUUAAAUAUUUUUCUCACGUUGGCUCGAGAUUUUUUAUUGGCUUAGAUAAACUUCACUUAAUAUGGAAAUAAUUAAAUUAAAUUGAAAGUGUGACGAGAUUCAAACAUAACAUUCUAAUUUGAUGAAGUUGGCAAUUCCUUCUCUUCUUUCCCUUCUCGAGAGUAAAAAGAGUUGUUGAUGCCAUUGCGGAAUAUUCUCGAACAUUUUUUUUUUUUUUUUGAGAGAGAUAAAUAACACGCUAUCCACCUCGUUUAUUUUAUUUAGAAAUAAACUAAGCUGGAAAUAUGAAUCAACUAGGAUUCGAACUUGGGUCUGGAAUACCAACUAAAAUAUCCUCAAACAGUUGAUCUACCUACAUGUGCGGUGGGAUUUCGGAUUAUAUGCAUAUAUAGGCUAAUAGUCCCACAUCGGCUGCUUAAGUUUGUGGUGCCCUAUAAACUAUCUUUAAAAGGAGAGGCCCGGUGACCGAAAAAAGCAUCUUUGCGCUUGGGGCAAUGACGCAGCUGGGGAGGUGAAAACCGAAGCGCGUCAAUUGCUGGUUGAAAACUAUUUCCAAACCCCCUCUUUGGCCCUGGGCUCGCCCCGGUUGCCACUGAGAAUUUCUGGAAGGGCCCCCUCUAACCAGGGUAAAGGCCCUCCAAGUUUGAACUUCAAAAUUUCUUUGAUAAAAAUUUACUUUUUUGGAGGUCACUUGUAAGUAAUCCAAUCAUUGGGCGUAACGUAAACCAAUAUUAGGUUUGAAAAAUCAAAUUUUGUGAGUGGGGUGGCCCACUUCUUAGGCCCACGGUCACCAUUUCUAAUAUGAAACCUCCCUGCCCCCCUAUCACGUACAUAAUAUUUUUUUAAAGAGAGAGAUAAUAAGCUGUACAUAAUAAUUUUUUGAAGAGAUAUAUAGAUAGUAUGCUGUCCGUUUCGUUAAUUUUAUUUAAAAAUAAAUUAGUUAAAAAUAUAAAUCAAUUAGGAUUCAAAUUUGGAAACUCGGAUACCAAUCAUGUAGUUUUUUAUUUUUUGUCAUUUGCAUCAGAAACUAUUGGUAUCACACAGAGGAUAUGAACAGUGAUUGUUGACCGUUUAUCAUUUCUGCCAAUAUAAUUGCAUGGCAAGUGCAAAAAAUAACAGUUGGCCGCCUCGUACACGCAGGUAUACUUUUAAUUUGCAUGUUGCAGUCCCAGCCAGGAAAAAGGUUUUUAUUUGCACUACUUUUAACACUUCAUUUCAUUUAAGUUACAUCAACAUUUAUGAACCUGGUCUACGCUCAAUUUUAAUUCAAAAAAUAAUAGUGCCAAUUCUUCAAUAUCUAAAAAGUAAAAAACUGCAUCAAACUUCCCUCAGUAGUAACCAUCUUAUUGCUUCUUUUAAUUUAAAUUUAGUUCUAUUAAAUGAGUCUCGGAUAUAUAUUAUUAAAUGUAACUAUUAAUUCAGUUAAAUUUAAUUAAUGAUUCUACUUACUUUUUUUUGUUUGAUAAGACUGCAGCUUUGUUUAUAAGUUAACACAUAGCUAGAAGCUUAUGGAGCUAGCUACCAAUUUUCACGGAAUAUUUCUCAUUCACCUAACAAAACAAGUAAAAUUAAGAGGUCAUAGGCAAAAAAUUAAAAAUAAGUUGAACCAUCUAUUUUAAAAUAUAUAUUUGGCCUACUACCUUAUCUUAAAUUGGUAGUCCACAAAUCAUCCAGUUAGUGGUUUGCAUGUCCUCUGUGGCAGCAUCUUGUGGAUAUACACUGUGACCGGCAACGUGCAAUGUCAAAUGAUGCUACUAUCAACAAUGUGUACGUACUAGCUAGUUUAUUAAGCAACUGUGUGGUAUAAAACUAAAGCCUAAGUAUUUGAAUAAUUUAGCCUUAGUUAAACGGUUUGCUCAUGCUUGUAAUGAGAAUUGAGAAAAGCAUUUGUACGUACUAGCUAGGCUGCUUUUACUGAAUCAAACAUGCACAUGGAUUGAGAAGUCUAAAUUUUAGAUGAUGUGGUAAAGUAGCUUAUUAUUGGAAUCUAUUAUCUCAAAAAUGCACGCUAGCAGGAUGGCCUCUCCUGCUUCUUCAUUUUCUCGACAUUGUUGUGAUAGCACGCCCAAUAUAUAUGGCAGAACUUGCAUUGAGAACUCAAGCGAUAUAUGUCGCUGCCGCCCGUCUAAGCAAAGUAAUCUCUAAUACACAUUCGAUGGCUUAAUGUACAUUUAUCAUCUUUAAAGUACAAUUUAUUUGUAAUUGACCGGCCCCUUCUUUAAUAUAAAAAUAUAAUUAUUAAAUCAUAAUUUUUUUUUUUUUUAGAGAAAGGACCGGAGGUUGUUAUUCACUUUGUUCAUUUUUUAAAAAAGUUAGUUAAAAAUGCGAGACAGUUAGACUUUAAAUUUAGAAUCUUUGGUACACUAGCUAGAAACAGUCGGUAUUGAAUUACAAUUUAGGAAAGAAAAUGCCACAACACACUGGCAUGAUCAAGCUCUUAGACCUUUACAGGGGUUAAUCACUUGGUCUUACUGAAUGCCCCAUAUUAGAGUCUCUUGAACCAUAUUUGGUUCAGGCAGAAAACUUAAGCCCACAACGACGCGGUGCUUCUCUUAAACCUCCCUCUUUCAUCCUGCCACGUCUUCCCUUAAUUUCUCAAGUCUCCAACAUCCAACCAAAUGAAGAGGAAAACGGAAAAGGCAAAGAGCUUCCAGAAUCGCCUGCUCAUCUCCUUAACAUUAUUAUUCCACUACAUGCUUACCACAUCUCCCCACCUUCUCUACACCCUCUGACCAUGUACACCCACCACCACCACUAGGUCCACUACUACGCUAUUAUGCUAUAACCAUCCCAUUUAGUCCCCCCCCCCGGCCGACGCAAACCCAAAAGCAACGAGCGCACAACCCACCACCAAGAAACAUGGCCACGCCGCGCCGCGUUUCCUGCAUCCGCACGCUGCGCCCGAGCCACCGAUCCGCCGCCCAAGCGGACGAGGCCAAGCGGAGCCGCUCCCCCUGCGUCUGCUGCGUGGGGCCCCACCACCAACCCAAAUCGAAGCCCCGCACGCCGCGGAGCGCCCGCCGGGGCCCGCGCGCGGUGGCUCGGCCCGGGCGGUGGUUCCGCGCGGUGCGCCGCUCGUUCGCGCAGGCCCCGUGCAGGUCCAUCGCCGUCGCCGCGCGCGGGGGCGAGGAGGUGAAGGUCUACAACCCGAAGCUCGCGCAGCCGGCCGAGGGCGCCGCGCUCAAGGAAGGGAGCGGCUCGGACGAUGAGUUUAGUUUGCUGUGUAAGGAGGGAUUCUGCCGCGAGGACGUGGCGGCGGUCACCAUCCAGGCCUACUUCAGGGCCCAUCUCGUGCGCUUAUUCUACCCUACUUCAUUUUAAUUUAUUAUUUUUGCGUCAAAUUUGUAGAUAUAUAAUUAUAUAGUCCCUCUUCCCUCUACACUCCAACGCUACGUGUCAGAUUGAUUUGCUCUACUCAUCCAAGGAAUUAUUAUUAUCAUGCUAAUCUUAUUAAUUAUCGUUUUUUUAAUCCUAAACUUUUUUUAAAAAAAUUAAUACAUUUUUCGAUGGAAGAUGUGUAAAAUUUACACCUAUAUAUACAGAAUGUAUGGGAUAUAUUUUUCUACCUGAUUGACUUAGUUUUUAUAAUUUGCGCUUAAACAUUUAAUCUCUGUAAUCGAUCGUUUUUACUCUUUUAUUAUUAUAAUGGGUGUCAAAGUUAAAUCACAUAAAUAUUGACUUGUACCGUGCAUGUUGGCAUGUGGGUGAUCACAACAAUGUCCGUAGGCGAACCCAAAGCAUUUAUUUUUCUAACUAAAGUGACUUCUCUGGUUUCGAGCGCACUGUAUAUAUGAUGAUGGAAAAGAUCGUUUGCCACGAGAUGUCAAAUUAUUUUCAGCGGCUAAUGAUGAAUUGUUAUAUUUUGCAAUUAAGACUUCAGAAACUAAAGUAGCAAACUGAAUUCUGUAAUCCAAUUAAGUUGCAAUAUGGAUGCAGUUUAGGCACUAUGGGUGCAUCCAAACCUUUUUUCUGCUUUAGAUGUCAUUUAAUUUGUGACACUAAUAAAUAACUGCUGUUUAUGAGACCAAUGUGGAAUUGCGUGGCAUUAGGCGCGGCGGGCGUUCCGGGCGCUGAAGAGCCUGGUGAGGCUGCAGGCGGUGGCGCGGGGGGCGUACGUGCGGCGGCAGGCGGAGGUCGCGAUCCACUGCAUGCAGGCACUGGUGCGCCUGCAGGUUCGGGUCCGAGCCAGGCAGCUGCUCAGCAAGUCCAAGGAGGCCCAGCUCCUACAAAACUGAAGAUUUCUGUAGGAUACUCUCCUCAACCUUCUCAGUGAUCGACGCCCUCUGAAGUUUGUAAUCUGAUUGCAUUUUGUCUCAUUUAUGUAUGUUAACCUUUUCCUGUAAUGAAAUUGUGACUUGUUGGCGAAAAUUGUUCCUCCCUUGCCUCUCUUUAAUUUCUUCACCGAUCCUUGAUUUUAUUUUCAUUAUUUGAUUCCAUUGCACCAUAAAUUUCUAUAUAUCCGGCUGGGUAAAUUGCAUUACUGCUCCUCAUCUUUCUAUCCAUUUUCGUUCUGAACCAAGUACUCUUUUUAAGUGAAACACUGCCAACAUGUGCUGACUCGUCGAUCGAUCAGGGAAUUAUGUUAUUCAUAGCGAACUGCAGUCAGAAACCGGCACAAAGCCGUCGAGUACAUUAAGACUUAAAAUGCACGUACGUAUGCAAGGGGGGAAAAAAAUAUGAAAAGAGAUAGCGAGACAACAACUCCAGGAGAAUUUGUCGACACCCAAAUUCCGACGUUUGAAAGAGAAAAACGAAGUGAGGAAACAAGCAAAACCAUGAUGAUCAACCAACUAGCUAGAUCACCGGCGCUGGCUCCUGCUGCAUGGCCACCACCUUGCGCCAUGCGGGCCGGUUGGUGAUCUGCUUCCACCACCGGUUCACGUUCGCCAUCGACGCGAAAAGAGAGCGGCACGCAGGGAUGGAGCCGAGGCGGUGCGCAUUGGGGACGUGGGAGAGGUCGGCGAGCGUGAAUUUGUGGCCUGCGAGGUACUCGUCCUCCGCGAGCCUGCGCUCGUAGAUGUCAAGCACCUCCCCGAGCUUGCGCUCGCUCGCCACCACCGCCUUCUCGUCCUUCUCCUGCCCCAUGAGCGGCGCGAACGCCAGGUUGAAGACCAGCUCCGAGCUCGGCGGGCCGAAGCUGUGCGCCUCCGUCUGCAGCCACUGCUCUAUCGCCGCGCGCUCCAACGUGCACGUGCCGAACAGCUCCUUGUUCCCGCGCUCGUGGUUGCGCCCCGCAAUGUGGCGGCAAAUCUCUCUCGAGUCUGAGAUCGAACAGUUAACAGCAAUUCAAUAUCAUGAAGUUAAGUCCUAAACUUCUUUAACUCAAAUUUCACUUAGAUCCCCAAAUUUUAAAUUGAAUUAGGCUGGUGCAUUGAUGUACGAAUGGUUAUACUAAGGAGCAUUUGAUUGAAAUAAUUUUUUUCUUUUCAAGUAUUAUCCCUCGCCUUUUCUAAAGCUAAUUUAGGAGCAAAUAGUUUUGCGUAUAAUGACUACGAGAAAAUAUUGACAAAACUUGGAAUAAAAUGAUUGAAAAAAAUAGAUAAAUUGAUCACUUCAAGUUUUUGACAAAUGACUUUUACAACGGGUAUUUUACAAAAUAAAUUAAUAGAAAAGUAAUAUGAAAGGUCCGUGCAGCCACACUUUCGCAAUAUAUAUAUAUAGAGAGAGAGAGAGAGAGACAGUAGAGUUACUAUACUCCUAUGAGUAUAGAUAUCUUUAUACUUAUAAGUUUUCGACCGUUAGAUUAAAAAAAUAUGUAUAGAUAUUUUUAUACUUAUUAGCUUUCGGCCGUUGGUUAGAAUGAUAGUGAUUUUUUAAAGUUGAGUGGGUGGUUGGUUGAAUAAUAUGAUCUAACAGAUAGAAAUGAUAAACGAAGUAGAUCUAACGACAGAAUACUUAUACAUAUAAAAGAGUCUAUACUCAUAAGACUAUAGUAACCGAACUCUAUAUAUUUAAUUAUUACGUAAGUUAUUUCUAAAGUUUUUAUAGAUAUUGUUUGUAACAUUAGGCAAAAGUAUAAGAUCCCAGCGAGAAACGAUUCUUACCAACAAGCGUCAGUUUCCCAUCUUCGAAUGUUAGCGCUUGACCAUGCGGCUGCAACGAACAACAUCGGUAAGAAUCUCACACCAUUCCUACUGAUUAAAAAACAGAGCAUAUUAAGGACCUAUUUGGCUCAACGGCUACUUCCAACGUACGGCACCGUACCGCGACCGAAGUUUCAGUUUUAAACUUCAACUGUAAUACAUUAAAAAUGGACCAAGCCAGGCCAAAGGAUAUACUAGAUCAGUUUACGAAAAGAGCAUCACCUGCAGUUUGAGGUAGUCGGGCAUGCGCUUCUGGCCCUUGUACGUAUCUACUCGGAUCAGCUGGAACUCAACAUCCUUCUCGAAGAGGCACAUCAACACUCUCGCGACUUCCGUCGAGGUUGGUGACCCGAAUACCUUCACGCUCGCCAUCGAAAAUUUGGUUACGGAUACGGAGAUCAAAGUGCUCUACUCUCUUAACUAAUACACACUAGCAGUUGAUAGUUCCAGUUCCAAGUGCACAGAGGUUGGAUGGUUCAGGUGGUUUUUAAACUUAGCUUGUAGCACAAUGAAAUGCCUUGCUUGUCAAGAGGAAAAAUUAAAGGGCAAAGGGAAAGAAAAUAAAGGGAAAGUGAAAGGAGAAAAAGAGAGAGGAUAGCUUAUUAAUUUAAUUGGUAUUGAAGGUGUUUUACUGGAGAUAGAUCUGGCUUUUUCUUUCUUUAAGAUGGAGCUUCUCCAUCAAGUAUGUGAGCUUAGUAUGUAUUUUAAUAUCAGCUAAACAAAAUAUGUCAGAAAAGCUAAAGGGAUUCAGAGAUGGAUUUGGCUUUAGGUCGGUUUUGAAUAACCAAUAUUAGGGCUUUCUUUAGUAAAGCUUCUUUAGUAACUGCGAUGAUUAGAGAAUUUGUUUUUAAUCUGUGAGGAUCUCUCUUGCUACUUGAUAUUCCCUGUUUUAACAUUACAUAAUAGCUGCGUUUUCAUUGAAACUCUCCUACCAGUUGCCAAUUCUCAUUUCAGAUUCAUCACACUCUUUUCAAGGACAAUAGAAAACACCGCAAAAUUCUGGUGAAAAUCUCAAAGAAAAUCGAGUCCUCGAGUUGACGUUUGAUGAUAAUGCGGCAAUUGGUUGAUCUAUCAUUCCAUGGAAGUCAACAAUGAAAGAGACCAGAUCUCGGUGUCCUCUCAUAAUUGAUUCACUAAUGAUUGAUUGCAUGAUUAAUUGGCCACCUAAAAUCAAGAGCUCAAACUACACUUCGGUGCACACUCUUAAGCCACACCCCGUAAUAUAUUAAUAUCCACUAAAACAUGAAUAAAGCAGAAACUAAAAUGGAUAUAUAUAUAUAUAUAUAUAUAUAUAUAUAUAUAUAUAUAUAUAUAUAUAUAUAUAAAACUGCAAACAACAAACAACUUCAGAAAAAACAGGAAGCAUUAUCGAAGUAUCUUGCGCCUUUCGAUCAUAGGCGUCAAUCGAUCACGUCAUUUCUUGAACAAUUUAAGAUGAGCACGUACUACCAACAUAAAAACUCGAGCUCAACUAUAGCUCGAGUUCGUUAAGCCACUGUACAAUCGGAGACAAGCCUGGAACUUGACAGUACAAUUAACUCAUCUCAUCCAUAGCCCUACCUAGGCUUUUGUGAGCACCUAAAUAACCUAAUUGUCAGUCGAGUUAGGUUUCAAGAGACUUUGAAUUUUCAUUUAGAUAAGAUAGCAAACAUCUUCGGAUUAUUAUUCAACUUUAGGAACUAUAUUUCACAGAAUACAAACUUCACGAACUGGGAUUCACAGAAUACAUAGAAAUGCUUCUCGAUUAUUUAUUAGAGAAACUCCUCACACCUUUUGUAAUGCCAAAGAGGAAGUACUCGACGAGUAACAAGCAGACAGAAACAACAAACACACCACAUGACACAGAGAAGCAAAAACGACAGAUAGCAGCAAAGCCAUCAGAGCGGAUAUAUUGCCGGUGCUCGGUUAAUUAUUUUCCUGAUCGGACCAGGAUACUCAUUCUGCAAUUGGACAACCUCCUUCCAUGAGGGGCGAGUCGAGAUUGCGUUCCACCACCUCUCCACAUUCUUCCUUUCAGUGAAAAGUUCCUGUCCCCUUUUAGACAGAGUAACAAGAUAAUGAGAAUUCGGGAGGUGCGAAAGAUCCGCGAGGGUAAAACUAUCCCCAGCUAAGUAUUUGCUGUCUCCAAGUCGCUUAUUGUAAAUGUCAAGUAUCGCAGAGAGCUUCUUCUCAUUUUGUUCUAUCACGGCUUCGUCAGGGUGUAUGCCCAACGGCUCAGCAAAAGCCAAAUGAAAGAUCAGUGCGGAGCUCGGACGUGCAAAGCUGAGAGCUUCUGAUUGAAGCCACUGCUCAAUCAAUGCCCUAUCCAGUGCUCCUUUUCCGUAAAGUGCUUUGUUCCCCUCAUCUUCGUACUUGGUGGCGACGUGACGUAUUAUGGCCCUCGAAUCUAACAGGACAAAAGUAACAAGAUUGCAUUUCACUUUUUGGCCGGUAUUGCAAAUAAACGAGGCUAAAAUGCAAGAAACGACCUAACAAAUAUCAUGAUUUUACAUAUGAAACACAGGUUUUGCAAAUUAAGGCAUGCGGAAAACAAAGCGGAAAACAUGGCAUCUGCAGGGGAAUUAUCAUAAAACUUAACCAAAAUAAACGACAAGGAGCAUCAGCGUGCUUCACUUACUGGUAAGGGUGAGAUCCCCAUCCUUAAAUGUCACUUGACCACUGAUAUCCUGCAAGGUUUGAAAGGAAGAAUCACAAGAUUUAUCCUCAUCAGAGUGUAAACACCACCCUAGUAAACAAAGAUUGUAAACACCUGUAUGCAUGAACAAAUAUGCUUAUCGAGUAACUUGCCUGGAGCUUGAUGAAUUCAGGUACAUUGGGUUGUCCAUUGAAUUUAUCAGCGCGAACGAGUUCGAACUUUCGAUUCUUUUCAAAGAGGCAAGUCAGCACCCUCGCAACAUCUGUGGAGGCCGGCUGUCCAAACACUUGCAAACCAGCCAUUUUGUGAGUUUUAGUUCCCCUUUAAUUUAAUUCGAUCUCACACGAGCUGCACCGAUAUGGAGUAUAGCCACAAUUCCGGCAGUAUUUAAGGUGCGGUUGGCCAGACGAAUUUUCUUUUCUUGGUAUGUACGUAGGCUAGCACCACAAGCAGGAAAAGACAGAGGAUAAAGUAAAGGGCAAAGAAUAGGGAUUCUUGCUUCUAACAGUACUACUGUAACUACCAGAUUUAGUAUGUAAUAUUGAAAGAAGGGCUAAAGUGCAUACCCUCUUGAGUUGUAUUAACGAAUAUAUAUAGUACAAGAAAUUGUCUUACUAUAGUAACAAUGAUUACUAUAGUAAGAGUAUAAAUAGGAUUACAUACUAUACAAUCCUACUCUAUAGAAAGCAAUGAUACUACUCUAUAUAAGGCAAUAAUACACAAUAUCCUAAUAUAGAUAAAAUAUAUCGUAACAAAUAUGCCUUAUGCUAGCUGUCAGUCUUUUAUAUAAUUUUUCAGCAUAAUACAUAAAUCAUGGACUAGAGGAAUAUAACAAAGAAAAGGUUUAAUGUAUCAUACAAGGUUGUGCCUGCUACAUCGGAAAAAGGAUUCAUUAUAGGUUGGCAAAGAAGUCUGGAAUCAAAUGGAUUUGAAGUGAAAAAGAAUUAAUCACUUUUUGCUAGUGGGACAAGAAUUAGAUCUUUGAUUAAAGUAUUAAGCUUCCUCUCAAGCACAAUUAUGAUGGAAUCAAUGGUAAUGAAAUGUAGUAAGUGGAAUUUUUUACUUGCAAUAGACACAGCUUGUUCUUGCACCGGAGGCAAUCUUCUUCGAUAACCAUAUGAAAUAAUAUAUUGGAUUGUCAGAGUUUAGUUUAGCUUAUGUUUAUGAAAGCUGACAGAAUUUCCAUUACCUUGCUGCUCACAUGGAAAGAUGGAGAAUGAAUUCUUCAAAAACAAAACAGAGAUACUAGAUAGUGGAAACAUAAUAAUUUAUAAGCUGAAUGUAGAUGUCUAUGUUGUUACUAUAUCCGGAUGGAGCUUGGAAAUGAUGUAACCGAUCCUCUCAUCAUCAUCAGAGUUUGAUGAAACUAUGCAUUCUUUCAUUUUUCGCUCUAAAAAACUUACCCCCAGUCAAUUUUGACUAGGGGCAGCCUUUGUUAAUUCAAGUAUGGUUGUUAAGGCAUUGUUAGAUUAAGCGCAUCCUAUCCGUAGGGUAAAAAACACAGGAAAGAAAAAGGUUCAAUGUAUCAUACAAGAUUGCACCCCUAGAUCACCAAAGGAGACAGCCAUGUGAGGGAAAAGCCAUGUGAGGGAAAGAAAGAUGGCAUCAAGUGAACCACAAGUUAAGAAAUUUUAAGUUUCCUUUGUCUGGGAACAAUGAUUAGAUCUUGAUCAAAGUUACAUUCUUAGUACGGUGAACCUGUAUGAUCAAAUCCAUGUACAACUAAGACGUCAAGAACCAGUUCAGAAUGUAAAUCCCAUUGUUUGCAUAAGAAAGCAAUAGACACUAGAUGAUUAAACGGAACCAGCAUAAACAAUUUAAGCAGAUAUCAUAUCUGAUGAUUAUCACUAAUCCUCCCAUUAUACUUUAGAGUUUGACAAACCAUGCAAAUUGUUUUGUUUCUAUUAAUUCCGAUUUAGCCCAAAAAAUCAGCUUCAGCCAUGUUUGGUUUGGAACAACCAGCAAAAGUGUGGUUGAACUAAUGUGGAUCAACAACGUUGAAUUAUACCGACCGUCUCUAGAGCAAGUGGCAAAGGAUUUGGUGGUUGGUAUCCGAGGUCCCAAGUUCGAAUCCUAGUUGAUUCAUAUUUCCAGCUAAGUUUAUUUCUAAAUGAAAUAAACGAAUCAAAUAGCGUGCUAUCUAUCUCUCAAAAAACAAAGUUGAAUUGUCAGAGUUUCAGAUCCUUUAACCACUGGAUCUUAAGCACGCAAAAUAUACCAAAUAAGCACUCCAGCAUCCAACCAUCAAAACAGAAAUGCACGAACUAUUUUAAACGAGAAUUUUGAGUACCCUGUACGACAAUUCCAAGACAAAUGGGAGUGGGGAUUGGUCACUAAAACUCAAAACUUAAAACGGGUAUCUCUUUGUCCUGAAUCAUAAUCCGCGAGAGAGAACUCUCUCCCCCAACCGGGAACUGACUCUCUCAAAGCUUGUUGCUCGUGCACAUUCAUUAGUACCUUCGCGAAAUUUGCAAUGACGGAGCCAAAGUCCAUGGCCAGACAAACGAGGAGCGUGCAUUAAGGAUUUGUUAUAAUAUGUUUGAAAAAAUCAUUAUCACCAACCGCUCAAUCCAUUUGCUAUUAUAGAUUAGCAACAUGGCAUAUCAAAUAUUAUGUUCUUACAUCCAUCUAUUUCAACACUAACACGAAUAAGAAGUUAUUUGCUGCCUUUAUCUGCCUAAAUUAUUUGAAAAUACCAACUAAUCAGGUUUUUGCAAAAAGUUUUUUCUUUUUGGAGUAUAAACAUUCAAUACUCUUUGUCUGUUACUAUAAUUUUAAUCCAUCAAAAUCGAACUCUUCCUCUGCCGUAGAAACUGUAUCCAAUAUGCUCCAAAUGGUGGCCAUUUGCACGCAAGGAAUCCACGGGACAUCCGAUCCCCGCUAUAUAAUUGUUCAAUGAUUCCAGCAUCACCACGAAAUUGCAUGGUAUUAAUUGUUGGAUUCAGUCUCUUGAACAUUUUUCCAAACACUCGGUUCCCGAGAUACAUAUUCAGAUAAACUAGAGUUAACAAGUUUCAUCAUUUCCCAAUAUAAAUCACUUGCUACUCUCAAAAAAUAUAUAAAUCACUUGCGCUUGUUAUUGAAAGGUUGAUGCAAACACUCCAAAUAGUCAGUAUACCACUGUAGAUCGCUUGCUACGGAGAUCACAGAGCACGAACCGCAUGGAAUAACACUUAGCUACUAAGAUUGUCCGAAAAGCACUACGAGAGAAACAUCUAUUUCCAAGUACCAAAAUUGUCCCCCUGCCCCCCAAAAAAAAGGAAAAAAAAAAAAGAAAGCCAGGAAUAAGGGGAAAAGUAAGAAACAAAGCCAAAAUCCGGACCUCAGGAAGAGCGCGUUCCCCUUCGGCUCGCUCCGGGCCAGAGAGCUCUUCCCCUAUAUUUUUGCUAGAUCAAUUGGUGAGCUAAGUUCAAUAAUAUCAGUUAAAAGUUAACCAUGUGGAAGGCAAGCGCGCAGAUGUGACGGGAGGCAUGUUGCGGACAUUGACAUCGAGCGGCAGCAUCCGGUAUUCAAUAUCGAGUUCUUUUAAGACUCUGAUCAUCUCCUGAACCACGAGCUCUCUCCUCCCCCACCUCAUCCCCAUAUCUUGGUGAUUGAUUCGGUGGCGCAUCCAUAUAGAUACUCUCAACCUGUUCAUGUCAUCCACAUCUCUAAGAACGACAGAUGGAUUAGGGUACCAAUGUUCCUUCUUACUCUCCAUAAACCUGCAACCACAUUACAGUGAAAAACCGUGCUCAAGUCACGUAUGUGUAGAGACGGUAUAAUUGUAGAUAACUGUUCAUGGUCAUCCCAUGUUAUAAUGGUUCAUAUUUUAACUAGAUGGCGAUAAUUCAUUGAAAAAAGUCAAAAUCAAGACAUUAUUACAAAUAAUAAAAUAAUCCUUUCAUGACAGUUAUCCAUGUCCCACAUUUUUUGGAGAUGCUGCAUCCAAUUACGGUUUGUUAUAGGAUUUAGCUAAAUAUGAAACAAAAGAAAAUAUAUUAUAAUUGAUCCUAGAUAACCAUUCUACUGCAACGGCGUUUCACCUUCCAAAAUUAUUAGAUAGCAAGAUUCUAGAAGUAUAAACUAGUCUAGAUAGCCAAUUUGUUGAUAUUGCUUAGACCUACUACUAGUUUAAUUUGCUCCACAUAUUUCCUGAAUUUCUGCUCUCCGAACUCUAUCACUACUACUGUAAAAAAUUAGAGGAGACUAACAUCUUAUCAAAUCGACAACAGCGCCAAUUGAUAUAAAAUGCUGGAAAAGUUUUGAUACUUACUGAAUUAUUCUUUGCUUCAUGAUGGCGAGCUUUUCCACGGGUGUUGCUACAUGAACACAGAAGUCAAUUGAUUCUCCCAUAUCCGGGCUUCGAUAAAAAUUGCUGAUUGGUUUGGUAGCAAGAAGACUAUUGGGGUAGUAAAUUUUGAGGUUAUCGUACCGCAGAAAAAUUGUUGCCAUGAUAUUCAUUUCCUCGACAACCAUCUGAAAUCGGAAUAUUGCAUAUCAGCAAUUCAUGUCAGAUAAUUAAUUAUUAGGGAACAGAACAGGACAAGUCAAGGAUAUGCAUCACCUGAACCUCCUCCACUUCACAACGAUCUCCAACAUCAAAGGGGUGCACGACAAAUAAGAAAAUGAUAGAUUCAAAAACCAUCUUUAAAGUGUUCCCAAACAUAAAAACUGCCAGAAGGACCUGAGAGCUGAGGAAGACGAAGAAAUGGGUUGUCGCAAUACCCAGAAUGAGAAGCCACAGGACAAAUGCAAUGACACCUACAACAAUGUUUGCCAUUUGGUUCAGCUUAUUCACUGCAGUUUUCGUAUCAUUAAGAGUCAAGGCAAGGGCUUUGCGUUCUCUGAAUGCAUUGACCUGCAGCAAAACGGAAGAGAUGAUCCCAAGGGGGGAGGGGAAUAUACUUAUGCUUCUAAGCCAAUGAUCAGCCAGGAAUAUACGACAAAGAAACUAAACAAAAAACAAUAAUAAUAUCAUUACCACCCAGUUCUUGAGGGACUUCCUGCUGACCCUGUUAUUCUCUUGUGCUCCCUCAAAAAGGCUCAUAGUUUUCACAGCUUCCUCGUGCCUCAUGAAACGCAUUAAAUCCGACAAGUAGAUAUACCUAUGACGACAGAAAUGAGUCAUUACUUGGUCAAAAAAAUCAACUGGAUCACAUUCACGAACUAGGUGAAUGACAAUACGCGGUGCAGAGCUGAAGACAACAAAUGUAGUACUCCACGAUAGCAAUAAACGUAAUUUUUGAAAAAAUAGAAUAAACGACGAACAUAUUUCAGCCCACAAAAUUGUUCUAGUUUUGUAAGGAUAAACAGGCGCGCUUCAUAGGUAGCUAAUGGCUCGUAUUAGUCAAUAAGACUGUCAACCUUGCCAUACCCCUGUUAUUCUCAAAUGCAAGCAACUUGUAAAGUAGUUUUUACCAAGGUUCGGUAGAGAAGGGAAGAAAAUCAAUUUGACGACUUCAAGACGAAUUUUUUAGUUAGCAAACCAAUUCGCCAACAACUUUCACAUCCUCAUGAAUAUCAAACUUUUUCUUUCAGGCAUGAAGUUUUAUGAAAAGCAAUUUCUCUGCUAUAUAUAUACUGACUUGGUGGCUCGACCAACCAACUUGCACACAGGACAUAAAUAAAUAGAAGAGACGAGAAUUAAAGCACGGUUGGUUGGGUUGACCAGAGUUAUAGGACAUAUACACAACGCUAGCGGAGUAAUAAUAAUAGUAAUAAGAAGAAGAAGAAUGAAGAAUGAUAGAUAGGGACAUUUUAAAGGGAUGCGGAUGGACUCACUUGGCACCGGGCUUGGCGACGUUGUUGAAAAUCUUUCUGGCGGCAAGCUUGGCCUCGUACUCGCUCCUGAUCUGCUUGGCCGACUCGUCCUCCCCGCCCGUGGCCUGCGAGAUCUGCUCGUCGAGGGUCAUGAGCGUGCCGUACCUAACGAUCUUCAUGAGGCGCUUCAUAUUCCACGCGGACACGUUCUUCUGAUUGAGUUUGUGGAGCUGGUCGAUCGUGAUGACAUCCUCCUGCGGCUGCUGCGGGCCGCUCCCGGCGGCGUCCUUCCGCGAGACGGCCCGGGACAGCUUGAUGCUCUUCCCGAUCUGCCCGCUCUUCCUCAUGGCGCUGGCGCUGGCCCUGCCGCUGCCGCUGCCGCUGCCGCUUCUGGUGGGGAACGCGGCCUUGCGGAGAUCGCUGGGAAUGGUGACGCCGGCGCUCUGGAGCUUCUGCACCUCGGCGAAGACGCGCUCCUCCUCGUCGUGGUUGCGCUGGAUCUCGACGAGGGGCGGGCCGGAGAGCGUCUCGAUGACGUACUGGUUGAAGAGGGCCUCCUGGAUGCGGUCGAAGUAGGUGCUGACGUGGAAGGAGGAGGCGAGCACCUUGACGAGCAGCGUCUUGAGGAGGCGGAGCAGGGUGGCGACGAGGAGGCAGAAGAGGACCUUGGUGACGUAGGGGAGGAUGCGGCUGCGCGUCUCGCGCUCCACCUUGCUGUCGAACAUCAAGUGCCAGGAGACGAGGACGAGGCCCAGCCAGAGGCUGUUCUGGACGGCCCUGCGCACGCCGUAGACGAAGUAGAGCACGCGCUUGCGGAGGAGGAAGUUGCGCUCCACGAAGAACACGGCCACGCGGAUCAGCCACCCGGAGACGAGGCGCCCGCAGAUGAGCACGAACACCAGCAGCUCCCACUUCCACAGGUGGAGCCCCCACACCGUCUGCCGCUGCAGCCGCCGCACGCCCAGGCUGCACGCCAGGGCGCCCAGGAUCACGACCAGGCUCAGCCACUGCAGCAGCGUCAGCGGGUCCAGCUUCGCGCGCUUGAACUCGUCGGGGAUGUCCUCGUCCACGAACGGGUCCUCGUCGUCCUCGUCCAAGGCCGGCGGCCCCCCGGCUUUGCCCAUCGCUCCCGAUUUGCCCAUCGCGCCCGAUUUGCCCAUCUGCCCCGAUCUGGCCGGCACGCGCCCGGAUCGCCCGCCGCCGUCGUUGCUAGUUGCGGACGACAGCGGCGGGGGGUCCAUGAGCCUGGAGCGGGUCUUGGCGCGGAGCAGCGCGGAGGGGGCGCGGCGGAAGGAGGAGUUGGAGGUGCAGCGGAGAACCUCGGCGGGGGGUACUCCGUUCUUGUCUCGGCCGUCAUCGUCGGAGGAGGAGGAGGAGGGGGAGAGGGAGGAGGGGGAGAGGGGGUGGUCGGCGGAGGGGUCCUGGAAGGAGACGCGGAGCUCCUUGGAGGCGGAGAUGGAGGAGGGGGGCUUCUUGAGCUCCUCCAUCUCGAGGUCCAUGUCCAGCGACAUCUCCGCCCCGGAGGCCUUCUGCUUGUGGAGGAAGGAGCCGAUCAGCCGGGACGGAGGGUCCUCGCUGAUCUCCGCCACCGGAUUCAGGCUCUGCGGCGGAUGGCUCUUGAAGCUGAAGCCGCUACUGCCGCCUCCGCCUCCGCCGCUGCCGCCAUUAUCACCGUCAUCCUUCCAGAAUUCGUAGCUCCCCUCCCUCCAUACCUUAGGGAGGGCGGCGGCGGAGGAGGUGGUGGUGGUAGUGUUAGUAGUGGUGUUGGUGCUGGUGGCGGCGGCGGCGGAGGUAGUGGAGGUGGGGAUGGGAGGGGGGUCGACGAAGGGGUUGUGGCUGUUGCCGUCGAUCUUGACGACGACCUCGCGGCGGUCGGGGUCGUCGUGGUCGACGAGGAUGGGCUGCUCCUCCUGCAGGUCGAAGGAGGGGUUGCGGGAGGACGAGUACUUGUGGGACCCGUACGACUUGAGAGAUUUGCGAAGAGGAUCCAUCGCUCUCUUCUCUCCUCUUCUCUCCCGCCGGGAGGAUCAGACGAAAGGAAGAGGCGGAGAAGCGUUUCUCGUUUUUUUUUUUUUUUAUUUUGAUUUUUCCUGAAUAUUCCGAAUCUCGCUUGACAACAACACUUCUCGUGCUGCCCAGUAUGGGAAGAGGAAGUAGGGCUGGGAUAGAAAAGGAAAAGGAGAGACGGAGGGGGACACGGGGGGAAACAGGGCAAGAGUUUAUAUGCUCUGUUGGGUACGUGUCAACAAAAAAAAGGACAUCAUACGCUGUAGCAGGUGUUGGUCCGCUGCUUCGGACCGCGUAGCUGACCCCGCUUGCUUGAAGAAGCAUAUUUUGGUCCGAAUUUAUGGUGGAGAUGCCAAGUGCUCCUCGUACAGAGCAGCGCUGGACGUCCUAUCCUAUCAUUAACGGGGCGCGACGUCCAAUGACCCGAAAUUUCAGCACGAAUGGGGUCCAGACGUGCGACUAUUUAGGCCGAGAAGGGUGCUCCGAGGGAGCGAGCUACCGAGUCGGAUGCCGGAGGGUAGCCUCUCGUAAUUUGGGGGUAAAAUUAAGGGGGGGCGCUCUGGACGGAGAUGUUGACGCUUGUCCAGAGUGCAUGGAGGGGCUACGGGAGGGCGGUGUUCGUGAGAGAGACGUGGAUGGCAGGACGAAGGCUGCCUGCAUGGCGUCGCCCGCGACGCGACGAACCGACGCCUCGGGCCGCGUAAUCGUGCCGCAUUUUCUUUGUUGGAGGAAAGCGAAACGAAUCGCCUGCGAGAACAGCCAUCCAAAAGAUGGAAAUUUUUUUAUUUCUUAAAAAAAUUGAUAGGAAUCAACCCAGUCACCCAGGUGGAGGUUAAUCACGUUUAACAUGGGUUUUUUUUCUGGCGAAGGAUCCAGAGUAUUGGUUUAAUAAAUAGCAAAAUUACAAGAAAUUAAUAACCAGUAGUAAGAGUGGUGAGAACGAGUUCCACGGAAGCCCUAUGUAUUAUUCUAAUCAGUCUUUGUAUGCCGCGCAACAACAACGAAACAUAAACCAUAACUCAAUACUAAGAUACUAAUUUCUUGUAAAAUAUUUCUUUUAAUAUAAUAUUUUCUUAUUUUAAUAUAAUAUACUAAAAUAUUUCUUAAGAGUGUCCCAAGAGAACUCUCCGCAUAAACCCGUCCGCUCAUAUUUAUAGAGAUUCACUCAAUCAGAUCAAUCCAACUACUAAGAACCCGAAAGCACCUCCUCCUAAAAAAGAGAUGAAUUUAGUACCUUAGCACUACCACCGAGUAAACCAUGAUAUCGAAGCGAAUACCAUCUAGUCCCUCUAUCGCAAUCUACAUUGCUACCCAACACCAUCCCAAGUAAAACCCUGUAUACAUUGUGCUAGUCCAACCCACCUCUCCCUAGUGGUCUAUUCACAACAACGGGGCUGGAACCACAGACCGUCUGUAGCCAUCUCUCUUUUUAUCCAGUUUCUCUUCUUUCACCUUUUCUCUAGCGGCCUUUCACAAGUCAAAGAGGAUACCCAGCAUUCCGCUACUUCAUGCCCUCACAGCCAACGAAUGUGGAGAAGUGCUCCACUUCCAACAAGGUAGCCAAAAAUUUGGAAAUCAAAACAGACUAUGUAGGGAAAGUUUACUAGGAAAAGCCAUUUUCUGAAUUCAUCUAUAGAAUUGUCUUAUUGUCUUCUUGUUUGAUAUACAAAAUAAUUUAUUACGCUUUAAGGAAAAUAAUUUAGGUAUAGUAUAUACACUGUAAUUGUGUCGACAACCCGUUAUCAUAUCUACUUGAGUGAGCAAUAAGAUCCUGAACACGACGUUCGAGCAUCCAAAUAGGACAAACUUAAUGUAGUCUCUAAUAAAGCACCUUUACACCAAAUACAUUGCCCAACUCACUGCUUUACAACGAGCAUGCAGAAUGGCAUGAUACAAACAAAGAACAAGCAUACAACCUAACAAUGUGUUAUCCUGCGCCACAUCAUAUACAGAAUGAUAUUUUCUAUUUUUCCAUUCAUAUACCAUAGUAACAGAUAAAAAAAGAGUCAAAAUACGGUGCCAAUUUACUAUUCGAGUCUGUGCACCAUGUAACUUAAUUGUUACCCUUCAAAUGACCAAUCAUCAACAUCAUGAAACCUUUCUUCUAUUUAUGAGACUCAAAUGAAGAUCCAUAAAACGGAAAACAUGGCUUUGUGGAAACAACGUUCAACUUAUUAUUGCCUAACAAAGAGGAACGAUUAAAACACUCUACUGCAUGAAGUUUUUGGCCUAGUCUGUGAAUGUAUUUCCAAAUGCAACCACUUUAAUGCUUCAGAGGAUUCAAAAAAUUCAAAGCCACUAUACAACUUCUAUAAUCUGAUGCUAUAAGUAUCAAAGGUGAAAAGUUCUAGUGCUCUCAGAUUUUUCUCUUCUUUUUUUUGAAGCAUCGGCCUAAUUAUGAAGGAAAACGGGCUGAGAAUGUUAACUUUGUGUGUGUGUGUGUUGCGGGGNGGUGUGGUGGUUAUGAAAACGGGCGUGCUUGGAAACACAUUGCCCCGCUAGUAAUACAAUACAUCGCUAUGGAUAGUAAGCCAUUGAAACAAGCAUAAUAAUUACAAAGGAAAAUUAAGAGACUGCGAAAGAGAAGAAACAUGCCAACAGCAUCAAGCGUCAACGGUCACGCCUGAGAACUGAGAAAAGAUGACCAAGUGACUUCUUCUGAUGGCCCAUGGGCACAACCUGUUCACUAAAUGUAUGUCAAAAAGAAAUUCAAGCAACUGAAGUAGCUGAAUGGAUUAUGUGACGAGGAACAUACUUCCUUGGCAAUGAUGUUAAGUAUCUCUAGAAUAUCUGAGAAAUUUGGCCUUAAAGCUGGGUCUUGCUGCCAACAUUUCUCGAGCAGAACAGCAAGCUUAGGAUGAGUGUCCUUUGGAAUAGUGGGUCUCAAACCCUGAGUAACAAAGCAGAUGAAGAUUGUCGAACUGGUUGAAGAAUCAUUAGAUAAACCCAUUUUAAAAUGUGCAUUAUAUAGAUCACGAUAACCCAAUACUUGGUUCAGAAAAAAGAAAAAGGAUAUGUACUGUUUCUUGUCGUAUAUAUAACUCAUCUACAAUCAAGUUAGUUUCUAGAAUUAACCGUUUAGCCAAGGUUUUUGUGCUGAAAUGGUUUUCAGCAAUCAUGCAUACCCUUGAAGUGGUGGCUCUCUACAUAACUGAAUAAUCAUUCAAAUGAAAUUUACCUUCCAAAAAAAGAGGAGAUUUAGUGCAACAAGUUGCCAUAAAAAUUACACGAGCGACAGAAAAAUAUGCAUGAGACCUGGAGGGAAUGAAUCUGGAGUAUAAAUCACAUGUAGAAAAUAUUAUAGCAAAAGAAACGUGAAAAAUUGGUAAAUAGUUAUUGGUAUUUAUGAGGAAUAUGAAUGUUAAUAGCACAACCACUCAAACAAGAAAGGCGAUAUACCUUUUGAACAACAGCAACUGCUGCUUGAAGUGGUGUUAGAUCUUCGUAUGGGAGCUGAUCAAUGAAAGACAAUAAAGAAAAUGAAACAUCAACUUGAUAAAUAUGGUCUGCAUAAAACAUAGGGUAAAAGAUUGAUGCAAAGAAACCGCUGAUGCUACCUUUCCUGCCAGCAAUUCCCAAAGAACAAUACCAAAACUGAAAACAUCAGCCUUGUGAUCGUAAAAUUUGUGUUCAAUUACCUAGAAAUUGGAACUUAAUGAUCAGAUCAUAACAAAUUUUCUUGAGAGAAAGAUGACAUAUAUUGCAUUAAUACCAUAAAUAGGCAAAAGGUGGAAACAAUUGAAUAACUCAACAAGCAAAAUAUAUUUGCACAGCUUACUAAGCUUUUACUUACAACCUGAUAGUCAACAAAAAUCAAUUUCCCCAGUCUGUACUGUUGUGUUAUAUCUUUAAUAGUCAGCCCGAAGCCCAAAAAACAGAAACAAAAGCAUUAGGUAGCCAUACAUAGGAUUGCCAAAACCUACUGAGAUGGUUUUGCCAUGGGAGUAACAUUAUUCAAGCGAAAGGUGCUAUUGGAGGAAAGAAAAAUUGGAAUGAAAAUUUCAUGGAAAACCUUGACUAACCAAAACUGCAUAGGACAAUACGAUCCAUAUCACUGACCCUAAAUAGUUGGGCUUAAAGGCUAAGUUAUUGUUGAUGUUCUCAUUAUUAUUGUUCUUGCUGUUGCUGUUGUAAUAAACUAACCCUUAGUACAACUGAAGAGGAAUUUGAAAAAGGUUACUAUUCAUCAACCAAAAGAAAAAAAAAUAGUUGUUCAAGAACACAACAUAUUGACAAACGUACAUCAAAUUACAUUAAAUUAUGAGAUAAGAAACACAUUUCUUUUGUCAGAGUUGUAAUUUCAAGCACUGAUUUACCAGACACUCUCAUCACUUAAAUAUUCAGUAAACUGCUAGCUUAGAACGAUAUAAUUAUCAGAAGAACCAACCUCAGGAGCCAUCCAUCGGUAUGUUCCUGUUUCUGCAGUCAUUACUCCAGACUGAGCUUUAACCCGGGCCACUCCAAAAUCUGCUACCUUGACAACCUGUGGGCAGAUGAUGUAUUAGACGACCAAACAGAUAAUAAGCAAGACAUGCACACAAGAACAACGACAGACAAGAUGAUUUAAAAAAUUUAGAUUAUUACACGAAUUGAUAUUGACAAGUGAUGCUGCGACACCAACCGCACCAAUCAAGGGGUUUAUAAGAGUUGGAAAAAGAAGGGGCAUGCGUUAAGCUAUAUAUAACCUUAACAAAAAUUAUUUGAAUUAAAAAAUUAAUUUUCUACACAAUUUAUAUAUUCGAGCAGAAGAAAACAAUAUAACAAUGGGGUAAUAUGAUAGAAAAUACAAAUGCAAUGCUAACCGCUAGCAAAGGAGACAAGCACAUAAUAACAAUAUUAUGUAAUAUGUAAAAUAAUUUAGAUUCAUUUACUUUUAAUGUGCCUCUCGCACAAAAAAAUGUGACGGCAUACUACUUAAAAUAGCAUGUGCGGAAUUAAAUACCUCAUUUUCAUCCAUAAGAAGAUUUGCUGUCUUCAGGUCCCUGUGGAUAAUAUUACAGUGGUGCAAAUAGUUCAUUCCCUUUGAUACAUCAGUAGCAAUCCUGAGCACAUCUGGGAGCUGGAAAACACCUUUCUUGUUGUGAAGAAAGUCAAAUACACUCCCUCCACGCAUGAAUUCUGACAAUGAAACAAACCUGACUCAAAUAUUCAGUCAACUAAACAAGAAGACAACAUGAAUAAUGUGUAGGAGAUUUGUUCAUUCUACAGUGCAUUCUCCACAACAACUCUAAAAGCUAAGCAUACUACCUGUAACUAUACACAAAAUAGGUGGUCUGGUGCAUGCGCCAAUAAACUGCACAACAUUCUUGUGACGAACCUUUCUGCAGAGAUUGGAUUGGAAAGAAUUGAAGAAAGUAAAGAAGAAGAUUCAGGGACAAGAGGAUGCAUACCCCUCUCUAAAUAAAAAAAAUUCUUUCGUUAAAUAUAAUAAGAAAUGAAAUGGAAGAUCAAUUUGUGAAACAAAAAAAAGAGUGAAAUGACACUAAUAGGAAUGUAGUAGAAGCAUAAGGCAUCAAAGCAACAUUUGUUUUCAAUGUCACACAUUAUUCAUGUGUUCUGGCCAAUAAUAAAAGAAUAUUUAUUUUCAUAAUGGUCUUCUCCAUAAUGGCUGUCCAAGACUCCCAAAUCCUCUUCUCACAUGCAUUGGUGUGAAAAUAUUAUGCAAUCAAUAUUCUCCUCCUAACAUGAGAAUAACAUAUUUGAAAAUUUCAGAUAAUCCAAAUGCUGGCAUUCCUGAGAAACUAAACAGAAUUAUGAUAGUUUAACUCACAGUCACAAGGGUAAAGGUAAAACACCAAAUGAGAGCAAUGCCACCUAAAGAAUACUCUUACAAGGCUUCACUUAAAAAUUUGACCAUUAAAUAACCUUGUCAAUCAAAUGCAUCAUAUAACAGCCAGCAUGCAAGGUUCCAGCAAUUAAUUGUGAAGUACCUGGAAGGCAAGGAGCUAUGCAUCCUUACACUCCCAAAUGAUGGCCACUAGGCAUCCAACGAGGUUGUCUGUCUCUUGGCAAAAAACCACCACUUCGGUGGAACUGGUAAGCCAGAACCAUCACUCAUAGUAACCGUAAGUGACUCUAAUAAACCAUUCAGUGCAUGAUUGAAGGCCUUUAAGCUACUAACUAAUGUUCUUAACAAGUCACAUAACUGGGAAACUUUUCCAUAAAGUCAAUGAGCUAAAUAGUAUUCACUUUCAAAAUCCUUAUUUUGAGGUUGCUAAACAACCAUACGUCAGUUUACUUUUCAAAUGCUUCCAACUUUCAAAUAAGCCAUUAAACAAUAACCACAGUAACCUCCACUGGACAUGAUAUACAAACAAGGGUAUCUUCACCAACUACAUGCUCCUUUCGGUCUCUAAAUUAUUCAUGUAGUUUUAUGUACUAGCUUGUCCGACGAAUGCAUAAGAAGCCAUUCGAAAGGUGCUUUGCUAGGGGGAUCUUGGGAAGCUUUGUUCUGAACAUUAAGUUGGAGCAUUUUUUUUCUUCUUCCAAAUAUACAGCAUGUAUUCAGUAGCCUAUGUCUAUGCAGUAUGCCCUACCUUGCCUCUCUGAACAAGUUAUGAGACCCAUCCAUCCUGAAGUAAUGCUAUGUAAAUUCUCUAGCUAUCAGAGGAGAUAGCUUUAUAGACCAUUUAUUGCACCUCAAUCAUCUCAAAACAUGGGGAUGCAAACACCCCUUUCCUAAACUCCCUCCAAGCAUUACAUCGCAAGGGAGUUUAUAGCUCAAAAAAUCAAUGUAAAAAUACUAAGGGAAUAAAAAACAUAUCAUCAUAUGAUACUAACAGCAAAAUCAGGAUUAUCCCCUCAUGGACGAUAGUGCAAGUUGUUCAGCUACUACUUGUCUAAGUGUUCCUUCAUAUAAAAUGAUAGGAGACAAAUCCAAUGAUCAAAACUAGGAAGUAGGAGGAAAAAAAAAUGCAACAGCCAACUAAUAAAAAUGUAUCUGUUUCAUAUGGAAUGGAAAAAAAAAAAAAAUAAACAAUAGAAAGAUUUUACUGAAACUAGGUACGGCUUUUUACAAACCUCAUAAUAUAUACUUCCUGUGCAAACUCACGCAGCCUAUCAAUGCUGACAAGCUCCGGUUUCAGAACCUUAAUGGCUACAUCUUGGCUACAGUAUGUUCCACGGUAACUGACAAGGAAACGGUAUAUGAUCCAGAUGAUUGAAAUGAAAAAUAUCACUCUAUCUAAGAGCAGUCUAUAUUGUUAACUCGUAGAACUUACAGAUUACCAUAAGAUCCAUAUGCCAGUUUACUCUCAAAUUUUAGAAGCCUGACAUCAAUUUCCCAAACAUCAGCUCCAUCUACAGGUAUCUGGACAUGAUCAGUUGGGCAUUCCUCCAUAGCUUCUACUUCCUCUUUAGGUAACUUUGACUGCGCCAACAACAAAAUUUAGUUCUGUACUAAUUUCAGGAGCAGAACGAAAGGUUAUGCCAUGCUUGAAGGAAAGGAAAAGGAGGCCAGGCAGCCAAAGUUAGAAUACAAAAAGACUAUUGACCAAGAUGAGAGGUGGUGUAUCACCAGCUCUCGAGAGAAAAAUUCGAAGGAACAAGACCUAUCCAACAAGAUAAGUAAAAGAUGGAGUAUCUGAUAAGCACGUUCAAUGGAAUUCAUUCUAAAGUUCACGACGUAAAUUACUUGGGAGAUACCUCUAUUGCUAGCUGGUUUAAUCUACCCCCACCAUAUGGACUCGAGCCAUUAAGUAUGUUAUUGAUGAAUGGAACCUUCCAGAUAAUUGCAAAAGCAUCAUUUUUGUAAGAACAAGAGGAUAACAUCGAGAGUUCUAGAGUCACAAAAAAAAAGAAAAAAAAAAAGCUCGUAGCUAUCUUUUAUCUAAUGGACUGACCUAUAUGUUGAAUUGCUUAAUCAUGUAAUCCACCAAAAUAAUCAAGAGUUAAUUAUAUCUAAUAGAGAAGAUAGUUUUGUGAGACAACAUUGAUGUUGACCAACAACAUAGAAGUGAUACAGCAGAAUAGCUGGCUUUGGUACUUGAUUGACAACAACCCCUCACAAAUAAUGAAUGAAGAUGAACAUUCCAAUGGGAACAUCCUAAUGGUUUCAACUUGGCUUUUAAAAUGACCCAAACAUAUAAUGAAAUAAAUUUGCACAUCAAUUUUCAUUAGCAUCUAGCAAAUAGAUGAUUACCUUUGUUUUGACAAUUUCUUUCUUCAGUGCACUUCUUAGAUUGCCAGUGUCCUGGAAAUUUCAGAGAAAAGUAAGCUUUUAGUUGGAAAUAGUAGAUAUAGAGAACUGUAAUCCAAAAUUGAAUUGAUGAAAAUCUUAAAAGAGAAUCAUGAUAGAAAAUAGAAGAUACAGUUCCUACAAUACUAUCUAGCAUUGGCAUCAAGAACUUCAUCUACAAAAAUGAAAGAACAAAGGGAACAAAAUUCCAAUGUUUCAUUUAUUAAUAUCAGCAGAAAUUUGCUAAUUAAUAUGUAUAGAAAGCCCAAACACAUAAUGAAGAGCCCAUUCCCAAAGCAUGCAUAAGAUCUGAAGCUUGCUUUCCGAGCAAUAAAACUUGAAGGUAACAAUUUCAUACAUAUCCCUGAAAACUAGUUAUCUGAAACUCAUCGGUCUAAACUUCAUAUUUGUGUAUUUAUCUUCACAAGUUAAAAUCAAAAGAACUCUCUUUUGACCGCUGGCAGGUAAAUCAUUCACGGUGGAUUCUUUAUUAAUGAAAGGACAGUUCUAACCUUUCAAAAUGUCGCUUAAAAAUGUUUGAUUGGGAGAUUGAACAGAGAAAAUGCAUCCAAUAUUUGGGGCCAAGGCUAAGGUAAAAUGGUUUGCAGAGAAAAAAGGAGAUGUGAUACCCUUAUUAGCCUCUUGAAUACGACAGUCAAAACAAUUUCCUCCAAGCAUUUAAAAGGCGAAGAAGUGAUUUGGAGAAAUAGGGGUCAAUUCCAGCCAAUGAACUACCAUUAGUUAAAAGAGAUGUGUAAAUCUAUAUUCAUAUUUCAAAUUUAAGUGAAUAAAGAGACUAAUCUCAUGUAACAUUUGCAGGGAUACAUUUGUGAAUGCCCCAGAAGUAUAUUAAUUGGCAAUUAUGGAGUCAAGGACUUAUGUUUGGAUAUAUUUGAUGUAUCCCUACUUAUUAGACUUUUUCCUAGUAUAAAAGAAUUGAGUUAGGAUCCAUACACAUACAAAAUACAAAUGGUAUACAAAAAAAAAAAAAACUCCUUUUCUUUAAAGUAGUCUAGUAUAUGGAAGAGAAAGAUAGCUUCUAAAAUGCAGUUUUAGAACUCACUCAGGUAAAAGAAGGAUAGUUUAAUGAAUAUCAUUCUAUAGCUCUCCCAGGUUAACCAUCCUCCUUUUGUGAAACUCCCAGGGGUUUAAUAAUCUUUCUCAGGUCUCCAAGCAAAUCAUAAUCACCUUUUGAUAGCAUAAAGUGAGAUUUAGACUACUACUAAAACACUACAUCUACUCUAAUUCUUUAACUUUCAUUUGGAACAUGUAAUAAACAAACAUUAGUACAACCAAGUGCUUAAGCUACACCUACAUAGACAGCCUUGCCCUGGUGCAAAAGAAAACUAACCCCACACGAAUAAGAGAACAUUCAUGAUACAAUUCUCUGGCUAACGAAGAUGCAGAAUUACCUCCGAUAGCCAGCCAUCAACCACAAAAAUAUCUAACGAGUAACCGUCAUUAGUGGAAAACGCAUGUGCUUCUCGAAUGCUGAGACCAACUUCAGCAAGCAAGGAAGUUAACUAGGAAGAGAAAAAUAAUACCAAAAUUAAUAUCACGAGAAUAUGUGAAAUAUACUUGUUCAAUGAGCCAUAUUAUGAUUUCAAUUUUGAAAAAAGAGAUCAAUCACCUGACUAAGAAGCUUUGGCUUAUCAUCUGUUGAAAAAGUGAUCUCGUGUAUAGGCCUACAAGAACAUCAAAUAUCAGAAAUUAGGAGCGUGGACAAGUAUACUAAGGAAAAAAAAGAAAAGAGAAACACUCCAUAAGUUGAUAUAUGCUUAAAUACAUAAUAAAUAAAUUAAUAUCUAAAUGGAACUUAAUUCAUGCUUUAUGUAGUUCAAUACAAAUUUUAUGGUAAAGUGUAAUCAGAAACAACUCUAACCAAUCCUCAAAUACUAAUUCUCAAGUUGAUCUUCCUCCAAUUUCCAAAUCAUUAUUCUAUGACUCCAAUUCAUGAAUUCCUAGAUUUCUUCUCCAUUUCUUUGAUAAAUCCGUGGUCCUGAGCUUACCAAGAAUUUCCCACAUCAUCUAUUAAGUCUAAACUAGCAUCCCACGCUCAACAAUUAAAAUAAUAAACUAAAGAAGCAUAUUACAAACCAUUCUUUUGGUGGAGCCCUCAUAGGGACCAAUACUGCACAUUAUGUUGAACGAGUUGCUUACAAGAAUUAUCUUAUCAGGUUGCAGAAUACAACUCCUAGAAGUCACUAUCAUAACAAAAUAGACAAGAAUUAUCCAGCCUCUCGGACGAUAUAGAAAGAAAGCAUUAAUAUAUUACGGACAAAGCAUUUAUAUUACAAAGCUGUAAAUGGCCGUUUCAGUGACAGAUGGGCUGCUAGAGUUUCUUCAGCAGUUUUGGCGACAUCAGAAGAUUCAAGCGGCCUAAUAAGUCUCAAACUCACAUGUACCACAAAUAGGGAAAAUGAAGAAUAAUCUUAAAACAUGAAUAUAACAAUGUUUCAAAUUUUCAAUGCAUAACUGUGAUUCUGAAGCCUUUUUUUUUUUGUUGUUUCAGCAGCUUCUACCUGAAAGCCAAUUACAUGAAAUGCAAUUUAGCAAAUUAUAAAGUAUAUCAAACAAUGUACUUGUCUUGCUUGUGGCUAAGAAUUCAGUACAUAAAGAAAAGUGGAAUGUCUAGACAUCCAAUGAAAUUACCUCCAAGUUUUAGAGGCACAAAUUAUAAAGUAGGAUAAACACCGCAUCCUUCCACCACUAAAUUCAUCCAGACCAAACGCUACAUGGUUCACGCAAACACUAGCCAUGUAAUAAUAGUUGUUAAUUAUGCAGAUGAAAUUUCAACUAAGCAAAAGAUUUUCGGAAGCCAAGAAACACAGACUAGUAGAGCUAAAAUCUGAUAGUAAAAUAAAACAAGCAAAUAGAACUCUAAGGUGGAUUUCUCUAAUCUCAAAGGCAAAAAAUGAUUUAAUUAUCUAAAUAAUGUGAAUUAUUUAGCAUGAAAGUAUUAGUUGAAAAAAUGACCUGAAAGAGUGCCGGUAAGAAUGAACAGCUCUAUCUCCAUCUUGAACCUGUUGGCUAUCAACGUCAAGAGCCAAAGCUUUAUGAUCCGAUGAUAGAGCGAAGGCCGGAUAGAAAUAAAUGCUGAAGAAUGGAUCAAAUAAGAGAAGAGAAGACAUGAAAUCAAGAUAAAACUACGUAAUUGAAUGUGCAAAGCAGAAAAUGAGAAACAUUAUUUUCAAAAGGAAACCACAAUAAGAAGAGCCAUAAGCACCUUUGUUCAUUGCCCGCAUAUGGAAAAUGUUUCACAUUUUGCUCCUCCUGCCUAUUAGAAUGAGAAGUCUCAUGUUUGACCAUACUGUGAAUAUUCAUUACCUGAAAAGAAACUCUUUCUGAUAUAAAUAGCAAAUUCAAAGAUAUUAAACUAGAAUUUGGCACUGUUAUAAGAACUAAAAAGAAGUAUGCAUGUGAUGGCUUUCUUCAAGAUUCACAAAAUCCAUUUGACCUAAUGGCCUAAUAAAAUUAGACUGUUUACCUCCUAAGAUCUUGAUUGAUUCAAAAGGCACCAAAUCUUGGUUUCAAUUCCGAAAUUUCAUGGAAGCAAUUGGGGAGCAUAAACUACAACUUAUUACGAAAUUUACUUUCAUAAGUACACCAAGCAAACUUAUACAAAUAGGCAAUAACAAUAACCGCAGUUAAUUUAAAUACUUAAACAAUAAAAUUGAGAAAUAAAGAAUGCAUCAUAAAUCACAUCCAAUUAUGACAAGCUUCACACUUUUCGAUUAGACAUUACUACAUUAUGCUGAAAAUUCAUCUCCACGUGUCUUACCUUCCUAAAAGUAAUCUAAAGAGUUUACAUGCACAUACCAUACUCAGAUUUAGGAAAAACAUAGAGAAUCACCAAGCAACCAGAAAAUAAAUGUAACCAAAGAUUAGACGCGGCAAUAAGAGGAUAAGACCUUCACCAUUAACGAGAAGUUUAAAUGUUUUACUUUCAAUAGACUGAAGAGAUCAUAACUCAAAAGAAGCUUAUAUUUUCUCUGGUUUUAUCAGACCCAAAACAGUAAUAACUCAUAGGCCAACUGUGAACAACCACAUGUUUGUUGUAAACCUUUCGGCAGCUUUCUAAACUUGAAAACAAGUUCAAGAAAAAUCAUUUGCUGUGUUGGUUUUCUACAAAGGAGGCAUGUGAUCAUGUUUCACUUUUCAUGAUUGUCUUCCAAAGAAUUUUGAGAGUCCUUUCGUGGACAGCAAGGCAUUAUGGUCGGAAGUAAAUUAGAAUAUUAUCAGACAAAAUAAGAAGUCGUAUAGACCCCUCAGACAAGAAAAGCAUAAAUUCCCAUAGUAAGCCAAUUAACUACAGUAAAGAAGAUGGAAGGAUCUUAGAAAUUAGCACUGGUAUAGUCAUAUGCUCAUACCUGGACAAGACGAACCUCAAAAGCGGGCCUGUUGGCAGGAUCGCACGCCUGCUGCAGCAACCUCUUGUGCAUCAAGACAUCUUCUGCUCUCUCUACAUUUACAUCCAAUGCAUAUCUAACCAAGAAUCACAAACAAGAUAUUCAUCAAGGAACCCAGUAAGACAAUCAUAUCAUUGUAUCGUCACAGAUCUACAUAUAACCCAGGCCACAAGCCAGAAGGAAAAAAAAUUAAAAUAUAGCAAUAAGAUAGACAACACUUCAAGAAAGUCGCUCGCUCCACGAAUAGAAGUUACCCAGUUCUGUUAAUUGAACACUUUACCACACAUAGCUACAAGCUAGAUAGAGACAUAAAGUGGCAAACAGUAACUUCAAGAAAAAUCACCGAAUGGCUUGAUCCAUAGGCUAACAUUAGGCAGGUUAUGAACCGAUAAAAAAAAGGAAUCCUAAACCAACAGAUUCAAGAAAGCCUUUAUUGAAUAAGAAAUCUAGCAGAGGAAGUUAUUCGCGAUCGCGGAUGAUAUUCACACCGAAAAAGGAAACGGAAAACAACGAACAACACAUUAGAGGAAGAGAUUAUCGCCUCGUGAUCAAGCCCACGGUCUAAAAUCUCGGUGACUUCGAGCCGUUCCCUACCACUGAUCAAACUAAGAAGAGACGACAAGAAGAUGACGAACGUUUCGAAACCGAAAACAAGAACUAUCAUGCAAGAACUAACGAAUAAAAAAAGGAGAUCGAGACCUGGGAGGGAGGCGGUCGAAGUGCGCCAAGAGCUCGCCGUCGAAGGCCGGCGAAAGCGCUUCGGGACACCCGGAGCUCUUGAGGCGGCGGAGCACCUCGUUGUAGACCUCCACCUUCCGCCGCCGCCCGCGGUGGCGCGACGGCGAUCCCUCCCGGGCGCCGGAGCUCCCCGCGCCCUCCGUCGCCAUCCAAGGACCUCCGAUCAAACCCUAAUCCAAUGCGAAAGCAAAAAAAAACCGAAAUGAACGAAGAGGAGAACGAGAAUAAGCCGCUCCACCGCCCUCUCGGAUCCUUCACGAGCUCUACCUCGCCUUCUCGAUCUCCUCGUCCUCGCGAUCGAGGCGUGAUUGGACAGGCUAGGGUUUCGAGCUCCGCGUGGAGAGAGGAGCGGGGGAGACGAGAGAGAUAGGGAAGAGGAGUUUGGUAGGAACGCGAAGAAGAAAACGAAGAGACGAGAAGGAGAAGAAGAGAGAUACGAGCCCGGGGAGAGAGGAAACAAAAAAGAGGUGGGCCGGAGGAUGAGACGAGGAGAAGGGAAGCAGCGAGCCAACUUGGUUUUACGAAGUGUUGUCCGUUACUUUAUUAUUUAUAGGAAUGGAGGAGCAAUGGUGCCUUAGAGGUGAAUAUGAUAUUAGAAAUUAUUAAAGAGUUAAUGUAUGUAAUAAUAAUAAUAAUAUUAUUAUUAUAUUAUUAUAUCAUUAUUUAUGGGUUCAGCAUAUAUGGUUAAAUGAAUCUGGACAUUCCAGCUGUUUACGUGCGGUGAGAUUAGUAAUCAAGUUCAAAAUUUGAGGGAAUUGAACAAAUUUAACGCCGAUAAGUUUAUAAAUCUCACUAAUUAUAUGUAAAGAUAAAUGUAAAUUGGCAAUUUUAGCUUCGUCCCCCGACUAGUACUAUAGUUCAUCUAGUUGUGGUUCGUGGUUGAAAAACGAACAACAGUUUGUAACAAAUGGAAUGGAGGCUCCAUUUCAAAAUAGCCAGUUGUCGAGGGGUUAUCCACUUGUUUUUAUUUCAGAUCCUAUCUAAAACUUCCAACCAAUAGAUCUGCCGCCCAGCAGAAAGACAUAACCCGUUAACAAACCUAUACUUUUGUCCAAAUCACCAGUAUAGUCGGAAUCUACAAAUUCCUUCACUUUACCAUAACCGAAAUUUUUUGAGUAGAGGAUACAUUUAUUUGAUAUCUCUUUCAAAUACCGCAAAAUUCACUUCACGACCUCCAAGUGCUAUUUUUUUGGAUUCGAUAUAUAUUGACUAAUAACAGUAACUGCAUGUAAAAAAUCAGACCUAAUACAAAGUAUAGCAUAUAUCAGGCAACCGACUGCGCUAGCGAAUAAAUGUAUAAAUAUCUCAUUCAGUAUAUUUUCUAAUUCAUUUGAGAAACGAAGUAGUUCGGUAGCUACUUCGUUUUCUAUAACUAUAAACUAUAAACCCAUCCCCGUGGGAAUAUUUUUUUUCCGACUCAACCACGGUUUAUUACUUCACCCGUGUUGCCUAGUUCAUAUUUUCACUGAAUGAAGCAGAUAGCAUGCUACCUUUUUCCGUAAAAAAAAAAAAAAUUCAAUGAGCAAAAAUUAAAUUCUUGAUUAUAACCAGAGAAGAAAUUUUUUUAUUAUUAUAUAAAUUAUUUUUGGAUAGCUUAUUCCAACGUUCAAAUAGAGCUUGAGAUUUCAUGGGUUAUUUGGAUGUCAGAAUAAGUUAUCUUAAUAUGAACAAAAAUUUUUUUAGUAUGAUAGUAAGUAAAAAGUUUAAUUCUCUCCAUCUUUAAAGAUCUUGCUAUUCAUAAUUUUGUAGAAUAGUUUAUUUCACCUACAAUGUAAUUUAUUUCAUUCGGAAAAAAAUAACUUGAAGUCUAAAUAUGAUAUUUCAUUUUAAAUAUUUAAUUCACUCUUUAUCAACCAAAUGUACAAAAUUUUUAAAUAAAUUAAGAAAAUAUAUCUAACAAGGUAUUACUAUAUCCAAACUGGGUCUAUUUGUUUUUAUUUAUUUAUGCCUUUACACAUUUUUUUGGAUGCCUGAAUAAAAUACCCAAUCAUUUCUUAUUUGAUUUGAAGAUUUUUUGUGUGAUUGGAAGUUAAAAGUUUAAAUUUUCUGUUAAGAAGGUCUUGACAUUUAUAAUUUAAUAGGGUAGCAUAUUUUGUAUACAAAAUAAUUUAUCUUAUUAUAAAAAAUUAAUUUUAAGGUUAAAUAUGAUAUCCAUUUUAGGCAUUUAAUCAUACUCCUUAUUAACUAAAUACUAUAUAUUUUUAAAAUAAAUUUAAAAUUAUAUAUAAGAUAAGAUGUUAUGUAUCUAAACAAAGGCCUUUGUUUUUUGAUUCAUAAUUUUCAUGAAACAAAAAAAAUCUUCUAUGCUGCUCUAUCAAGUAUUGAUGCCAUAUGCUUUUCUUAUAUUUUUUAAAAAAAGAUAAUCAGGCAUGCGCGAAAAUACAAGAACAUAAUUAAAUAUAUAACAAAUUUCAACAUAUAUUUGGUAAUGUUUUUUGUGGGGAAUGUUUGAGAGAUAGUGGGGAGUUAGACCUAGUUUGAUAACGUGAUAGAUAAAAAUAUAUCUAUUUUAUAUUCUAAAAGGUUCAAGAUUCUAAAUUAUUUUAAAUUAUUUUUUUUGAUGUUAUAAAAUUGCAAUAACAACAACCACCGAAAAGGCAUAAAAUGUUGAAAGGUUAAAAGUGCUUUAAAAUUUUUGGACUAUCUAAAAUACAAAAUAAGUAUUUUUAGCCACUACAUUAUAGGUCUUAAAAUACAAACACUUAAUUACCAAAUAUAUAGUUUGGGGAAGAAGAGGCAAUAUAGUACUUCAUUAGGCUUUAAGAAUCUGGAAUGUCCUAGUUUCUUAUCAGAGGGACUGUUUGGAUGUACAGUAAAAAAUCUCUACGAAGUUUAUAGAAAUUUAUAAACCACUGUGGUUUUGGUCUAAAUGAAAUAGGGAAUUCUGUAACUCUAAAAAAUUCCACGGAUUCAAUUUUCAAACUGUUUGGACGCGCAUUAUGUAAUUUCACAGGAUUUCUUUAAAUUUUAAAAAUAAAAGUUAAAAUUUAAAAUUUAAAAUUUCAAUAAAAAUUUAAAAUUUAAAAUUUGAUAUGUGAAAUUUUAAAUUUUAAAUUUUAAAUUUUAAAUUUUAAAAUUUAAAAUUUUAAAAUAAAAAAUUUAAAAUUUAAAAUUUAAAAUAUAAAAAUCUAAAUUUAAUUUUUAAAUUUUAAAAUUUAAAAUUUUAAAAUAUAAAAUUUAAAAUUUAAAAUUUAAAAUUUAAAAUUUGAAAUUUAAAAUUUAAAAUUUAAAAUUUAGAAUUUAAAAUUUAAAAUUUAAAAUUUAAAAACUAAAUUUGAAAUUUGAAAUUUGAACUAUGAGAUUUGAGAUUUGAAAUUUAAAAUUUGAAAUUUAAAAUUUAAAAUAAAAUUUUAAAUUUUACAUUUUAAAUUUAAAAGUUAAAUUUGAAAAUUGAAAAUUGAGAAUUAAAAUUUGAAAUUAUAAAUUAUAAAAUUUAAAAUUGAAAUUUAUUGUUUGAAAACUAAAAUUUAAAAUUUGAAUUUAUAAAAUUAGAAAAUUUGAAAUUUAAAAUUUGACAUUUAGAUUUUGAAAUUAUAAAAUUUAAAUUUUUGAUAUUUAAAACUUAAAAUUCUAAUUUUAAAAUUAAAAAUUAAAAAUUUGAAUAUAAAUUAAAUUAUAAAAUUAAAAAUUUAAAAUCUAUGUUGAAAUUUAAAAGUUAAAACUUGAAGCAUUUUUGGAAUAAUGGAGCCCAAGAAUGGCGGAAUUCUUUUUCUUUAGUUAGAGUGGAUUAUAAUUUUACUUCAUUUUAUGGAGUAUAGUUUAACUAUAUUUCAAAAAUUAUGUUACUUUUUUUUUUUCUCCCAAACGCUUUAUAGGAUAAUUUUCCUACCAGUAUAGCAUAAUUUAACUAUACAAUAUUUUCAAA